AUAGCAACUCUCAAAAUAUCUAAAUACUCACAAAAAUACGCUAGAUAAUAUAGAGAGAAAGAAAACUUGUUUCUGGUGUGAUUUUCAAUUCUAACUUAAGCACAUAUUUAUAGGAAAAUGCUAGAACACCAGAGGAGACUAAAUAAUAAAAUAAUAAUAUUAUUAUUCAUCCUUCUACGCAUGCAGCCAUCCUAGACCAGCCAUCACCUUUGAAAAAUUCUACAGCACAUGUUUUCAAAAUAAAACAUAAGUGGGUCCCACCCAAUUUUAAUAAAAAAUAUUUUAUUUUUUGAAACUUCAGUAAUUCAUAAUAAAUAUCCCUUUUAUCAGAAAAAUACAAAUUUUAUGUCCAUUCCGCACGAAAUCAAAUUCUCUACAACUUUGUAGCUUUAAGUUUUUUCAAAUUCUAGACAGAACAUAUUCGAAAUCCACAAACGGAUGAUUUUUAACACCUUUUAAAAUUCAUAACAAAUCAUUCGUUAAUUUUUAACAUUUCAAAAUUUGUGGAUAUAUACUCAACUUAUAUAUGUAUAACAUAUCCAAAAAUCACAACGAUCGAACGAUCGGAUUAAAAUUAUAACUCACGCAAUAGAGCUUUAAGAACACCGAUUUGAUCUUUUAAUACCUCCAAUCCAACAAAAUACUGAUAAAACACCUCAACAUUAAUUUCUUCAUUUAUAACCACAUAAAUAAAUCCAUCAUUUAUAUCCGCAUCAAAUAAAUAUUUCCUUAUCAUAUAAAUCAAUAAUUAAUUAUUCACAAAUAAUAUUACAGAAUCACAAUAAUGACAACCAAGCAGUUCCCAGGAAAGAGGGGGCUUUCGAUAAGGAUUUCUCCUUACUGGCGCGCAAUUAGGUGACCAAACCUCUCCUUGACAGAACUUUCUAGACAUUACCAAUAAUGUUAUCUAAUAAUAUUUAUUCAAAUAAUAUAAAUUAUUGAUCUGAUAAUGGGAAAUAUUGUGCAAUGACAAUUAUUGAAACAACAAUAAUAUAAAAUAUCAACGCAGCAAUUAUUGAACCAAUAAAAUAAAAUAUUGAACAGUAAUUACUGUAACAAUUAUUGAGUAGUGCCUUCAUACGUAAGAAUCAAUAAUCAAAAAUACUGUGCAAUACCGUGUGCUACUGUGUAACCACGCGUAUUACUGUAUUUUAACCACCAGCUAUUCCAACAGUGUUAACGUUAACAACUACGUCGUUAUUUAUAAAAACUCAAACUUGUCAUUUUCUUCAUCCGACAGUUAUUCAUUAUGGGGCCCACAAAUGGCUGCGCCAUCAUACGAAAAUUCCCCAACAGCAAGAAUAUUCCACGACCAAACGAAUAUUCCCCGACAACAAUAAGUAUUUUAUAGCCACUUGCUUAUUUUGAAAAAUUUCAUAUAUCACCCUUAACCUUAACUUUUUAUUAAUUUAACCAUUUACUGAAUAAUAAUUAUAAGAAAAAUUGAAUACUUUUAUUUCAUAAAAUUCGGGGUCUUACAGAUUGUAUGUUAUUCAUGGUCAAAACCCAUUGACCGAGCAUGACCGAGCAUGACCGGAUGAUUUUUGGGUAACCCAAAAAUCAUAUAUCCGAGUCUGACAAUGUUUUGCAAGGCCCAGAUCUGUCAGGUAUGAUGUUGUUUGAUGAUAUGUUUAUAACCAAGUUGUAGCCUGCUAGAUCUACUCUAAAUAUAUGUCCUUAGAUCCUUCAAACCAUUAAUGUAUCGAAUGGAGUGGCUGGUCAAACUAGUCUACUCGACCUGGAUGUCUGUUUUCUGGAAUUUCCAGAAAAGGUAUGAACGAACCUUCUGACAAGGUUUGACAGGGAUUAAUCUAGAGAUUAUGAUGUAAUCGGACUGCAAUCAUGCUAUAUAUGUGUUCCUUGACAUAAGGACUAUAUACUUGAACCAUAAAAUUAGCAAACUAAUGACCAAAACAUUAAAUUAAUUGGGCUUGAAAGUGGCACCACAAACUGCUUGGGUUUCUGGGUUACCCAGAAAACCCAGGAACUCUCUGACAGUGACUUUAGAGGCUCAGAUCUCCUUGUUUGUUUGUUAUAUGACCAAAAUGAUGGUUGGAGAUUGUAGUGUUACAUUCCUACUAUACGAUUUGAGUCUUAGAUUGGCCAGAACAUGUAUUAACUUAGAAUCAUUAACGAUCAACGUAAGGCCAUUGCUAAGCCGGUUGUCAGUGUUCUUGAGCCCAAGAACACCUAUAGCGACAGAAAGCGUCGCUAAAGGAUACAACGACGGUUUUAAUUAUUUUAAUUUUUUGAAUUUCUAAAAAAUGAUUAAAAAUAGAAAUAAAUUUCUAAAAAUUACAAAAAAUGGUUUUAAAAAUUAUUUUAAAUUAUAAAAAAUAACUUUUGAUAAUUUAGGAUAUUUUUCAUUAAUAUUUAUAAUUAUUUUAAUAUUAAUGGUAUUUAAUUUAUUUAAUUAUUAUAUUAAAUAAAUUAGAGAAAAUUAUUUUAAUAUUAUAAAAAUCAUUUGAAAUAAGAAUAAAGUGUUUCAAAAUAUUUUGAGUUAUAAAAUGUAAAUUUUAAUAUUUUUGGAGAAUUUUCAUUAAUAUUUUAAUAUUAAUGAUAUUAGAUUUAUUUAAUUAUUAUAUUAAAUAAAUGAAUUAAAAAUAGUUUUAUUGAUUUAAAAAUCAUUUAAAAUUGAGAAAAAUGAUAUAAAAAUAUUUUAAGUUAUAAUUAAUGACUUUUAAUAUUUUGAUGAUAAAUUCAUUAAUAUUAAAAUAUUAAUGGUGAUGGUUUAAAAAUAAUUUUAAUUAUUUUAAAAAUUAUUUAAGUAGAAUAUUGUUGAUUUAAAAAUAUUUUAAGUUAUUAUUGAUAACUUUAAUAUUUUGACAAGUAUGUCAUUAAUAUUUUAAAAAUUAUAUAUUAAUGAUGAUGGGUUUAUCAGUAUUUAAAUCAUUUAAAAAUGAUUCUGGUGUUUGAAAAAUUAUUAUAAAUUAUAAUAAUUGUUAGAAAAUUAUUUUAAGCUUCCGAAAAAUAUUAUAAAUGAUAAUUGACUUAUCUAAUAUAAUAUUGAAGCUUUGAGACCGAGGUUAGUUGACAAUACAAGUGUUAAUUAUCGGAUAGGGUGACCAGUACAUCGAGAAUAGACCAAAGUCCAACCAGACUGAACUAGUUAGACUUGAGAAGUGUUUAUAUAGGUUAUAAACACUAAUAUAACUAUGUGAUAAUGUGUCUAGGAGAAAGAUUGACUGUAAAUUAUAGUAUUAUGUGUUAUGAAUUAUUGUGCUAAUUGUGAGACUGAUUGUUGAUUAUAGGUCUUGUGAAUGCAGAUAAGUAUAUUGUGCAGCAGUAAUCAACGCAGAAGGUAAGUUUCCUUAACUCAACCUUGAGUUAUAUCUGUUCAAUUAUUAUGGUGGUUAAUUAUUGUUGAUUAGACCACAUCUGAGAAUUAUUGUUGAUUAUUCACAGUUAGUGCUUGUUUAUUAAUUCAAAUUUAAUUAGUGAUUCUGAGAAUAUAUAAUUGGAGAAUAAUUUGUUAUUGGAUAUUUACAUCCAUAGAAGCUAUUAUUGACAUUACAGAUAAUUCCUAUCUAUUGUCGAAUUGAGUUGAGAUAUGUCUUAGCUAAUUAUUCUGGCUAAACGAACAUUUGUUAGAACUUGAUAAGUUGGAGAAGAGAAUUAAAUUAUUAUUGACAGAUUGAUGCCAAUUAUUUUGGCUAGAUCGAGAAAGUGAUUAGAUAUUGAAAUCAUUGUAUUUCGUUGUUAUAAAUCAAGCUCUGAUUAUAAGACUGAGAAGAACAACCUUUUAUACAAAGGGAACAAUUUUGGUCGUAUAUUCGGCCUUUGCGCGCGUGUAAGUAUUAUGCAUAAUAUAGGGUACAAGGAGUUGCAUGCUCUAAGUACUUGCAGAGGGGUAUGAUUUAAUCUUUAUGGUUAUCUGAUAAAUCUAGGUAUAUCAAAGUAAAUCUUUGAUAGUUACUCGAGAAGAGAAGUUCAAGAUCCUUAGGGAUCACUCAGCAUAAACUCUGAAGAAUAUUUCCAUCUUGUUAUUCAAUUGAAUAUCGUAGAAAUUUUGAAAGCGUUGUACUCUUUCAUUAUCAAAUUAUUGUGUUGCAUAGAAUGCGAGAAGACUUAUUAAUGAUUAAUGAUUUGUUCAGCUAAAGUAAAGUUCCCCGAACUUUGGUGUCAUUUUACCAAAAUAGAUAGUCUGUUAUUCUUGAUUCUUAUAUAUUCAUUGUAUGUCUUAACUUGCAGGGAAAAUUUGUUGCUCACCCUUGCUAAAUAAAACAUUUUAGCUAGGGACGAGGUGGCAGGAAGUACUGUGAAGAACAAAGGCAAAGGUGUUAUGCUGGAAUAAUUAUGAAAAACAUUAUUAUUAUGUUAUGUUUGUAAACCCUUUUUGUAUAUCUAAAGGGUAUGUUUGUAAUAUAAAGGUUAGAUAACCUGGGACGAAUGUAUUAACAAUAUCUGUUAAUGGGAUAUAUAUUGCUAUUUAUAAAUAAAUGGGUAGUUAGAUGUUAUUUAUAUUGUGGAUUGUGAGCACCAACCUCGGGGGUCAGGUAACCCAGAUUUGGGGGCGUCACAAGUUGGUAUCAGAGCUAUAGGUUAUAAACCUUAAGUGGGGAGGAAAACCCUAGGAUUAUAACCAUAAGCGAGAUAGAGAAUACUCAUUUAGAGUACUAAGUGAGGGACUACCAAAGUGUAUCGAUAGUGAGAAAGGUUGACACAUAGUGUGAGAAUUUUGUACUGGUGAAGUACUAAUCAAGUUGUUUAAUUGACUGUAGAAUGUCAGGAGAAGAUAAAAUGAGUACGGAGAUACCAUCGGCUGUUGCACCAGUGCCAGUAGCUGAGGUGCCAGCACAAAGUGAGUCAGUUAAAGAAGUGGGGAAAGAUGAACCUAUAGUUAAUCUUAGGAGUGAUCAUGAUGAUUACCCCGAGAUGUAUCUAAGUGGUGAUAAGGAGGCAGAGUCCGAAGAAGCUAAGGUGGAGAAAGAGAAUAAGACUAAAGUUGGAGAAAAAGAUCAAGUAUCUACGCAGAACUACAAGAACUCCAAAGUAAAGUGUUUCUCUUAGGGGAGUUGUACAAGACAGAAAGGGCGUUACGCGAGAUGACCGAAGAACGAAAUGAUUUGAAGGCACAGGUGGAAAGGAUGAAAACUGAAGGUGGUGGAUCGUCGGAGGGAACAGUCAAGCAGAAGGGAAAGAAUAAGAGAAAGAGGGAUCACGACAGUGAUAAUUCUAGAAAUUCAAACCCAAAGAAGAAGUAAGUCUCUAGAAAGUGUGGAAAGACUCACGUAGGAGAGUGCAUGAUGUGGAAGAACGUGUGUUUUAACUGUAAGCAGGAAGGACAUAUUUCUUUACAUUGUCCUAAGCCAAAUAUGAGGAAAUGUUUUUCAUGUGGGAAAAUGGGUCACGAAUUCAACAAGUGUCCCAACAAAAAGAAUACGGGUAAAGGGAAUGGACGGUAGAUAACCUAGAUAUAAGCGAUAGUAUCUUUUGGUAAGUCUGAAGAAAUGUUUUUCCUGUCCAAAUAUGAGGAAGUGUUUUACAUUGUCCUAAGUCUGAAGGUAAUGCUAUCAUAUAAGCUACCUCUCUUACCCUUUUUAAUACCUCAAAAGGUCCUAUAAACCUUGGACUUAACUUUCCCUUCUUUCCAAGCGUAUCUUUCCUUUCCAGGGAGAUACCUUUAGAAAUAAAUACGAGCCUACUUCAAACUCUCGAUUUACUCGAUGUAAAUCCACAAACUUCUUCUGUCUGUCUUGAGCUGCUACUAGACGCAUUCCUAUCAGCUUGACAAUAUUCGCUGUUUGCUGCACCAAUUCAGGUCCUAGCAUUUGGCAUUCUCCCACUUCGUCCCAACACAAUGGUGUUCUGCACUUCCUUCCAUACAAAGCUUCGUACGGCGGCAUGCCUAUGCUCGCAUGAUAACUGUUGUUAUACGCAAACUCUACUAAUGGUAGGUGAUCAUCCCAACUACCCUUGAAAUCUAUGACGCAAGAUCUCAACAUAUCUUCUAGCAUCUAAAUUGUCCUUUCGCUCUGUCCAUCGGUUUAUGGAUGAUACAUUGUACUUAAUUUCAGUUGCAUUCCCAAAUGUUCUUGUAGACUUCUCCAAAAGUUCGAUGUGAAUCGUGGAUCACGAUCUGACACUAUCAAGACUGGUACUCCAUGUUUGGAAAUAAUUUCCUUAACAUAAAGUUUAGCUAACUGAUCUAAGUUAUACUUGACCCUAAUCGAAAAAAAGUGAGCCGACUUUGUCAAUCGGUCCACUAUUUCCCAAAUAGCGUCAUACCCUUUCUGUGUAAUCGGAAGUUCCACCAUAAAUUCCAUCGUGAUAUGCUCCCACAAAGUCCAAUGACUGUAACAAGCCACUUGGUCGUUGAUGUUUGGCCUUAAUUUUCUGACAAGUUAAGCACCUACUCACAUAUUCUGCUAUCUCUCUCUUCAUGUUCGGCCACCAAAAACUCUGUCGAAGGUCUUGAUACAUCUUGGUACCACCAGGAUGAAUCGAGUAUCUCGAACUAUGAGCUUCUUGUAACACUUCCUCUUUUAAUUCCGUCUCAUUUGAAACCCAAAUUCUUCCUUCAAAUCUUAAUAACCCCUCGUUAUCAAGACUAUACUUAAUAUCUUUUUCCUUUGCUAGCCGAUUCUUCAUCGGAUCACACUCAUUAGUUCUGAGUUGUACCUCCUUGACUCUCUCUAUAAUGGUAGAUCGAAUCUCUGUUGUAAACAAUAUCUAUCCUGAUUCACUCGGUAACCUCACCUCCAACUCCAUUAUAGCCAUCUUUGUUAUUAACUUAGUUUGAGCCGUUAACAUAGAAAACUUUUCUCGACCCUUCAUACUCAAGGUAUCGGCCACUACAUUGGCUUUUCCGGGGUGAUACAGGAUAUCUCAGUCAUAAUCCUUUAUCAACUCCAGCCAUCUCCCUUAUCUCAUAUUUAAAUCCUUUUGUGUGAAGAUAUAUUUUAGACUCUUAUGGUCCGUGUAUAUCUCAUAUUUCUCUCUGUAAAGAUAAUGUCUCCAUAUCUUUAAGGUAAAUACUACUGCGGUCAGUUCCAGAUCAUGAGUAGGGUAAACUUUUUCAUAAUCCUUCAACUGCCAUGAUGCAUACGCAUUGACCUUGUCAUGCUGUAUGAGCAUGCAACCAAGUCCUUUAUGCGAAGCAUUACUAUAAACUAUGAAAUUUCCUGUAUCAUUAGGUAAUAACAAUACAGGUGCUUCACUCAAUCUUUUCUUCAGUUCUUGAAAACUGUCUUCAUACUUUUCCGUCCAUACAUAUUUCAUUGUCUUCCUUGUCAAGUUAGUCAACGGAGUAGCUAUCUUAGAAAAAUCUUGGAUGAAUCUUCGAUAGUAUCCCGCUAACCCAAGGAAACUCUGCACCUCAGUCGGCGUUUUUGGUUGUUCCCAAUUCAUCACUACUUCCACCUUCGCUGGAUCUACUGAAAUCCCAUCCCGGUCGAUAACAUGUCCUAAAAACUAUAUCCUUUCUAGCCAAAAGUUACACUUAGUGAAUUUCACAUAUAGCUUCUCCUUCCUUAGUGUCUCCAACACUAUUCUUAGGUGUUCAGCAUGAUAUUCUGGUGUCUUAGAAUAGACUAGAAUAUCAUUGAUAAACACUACGACGAACUUAUCCAAAUAUUGUUUGAACACUCUAUUCAUCAUAUCCAUAAAUGCAGCUGGUGCAUUUGUCAACCCAAAUGACAUCACUAAAAAUUCGUAAUGGCCGUAACGAGUCCUGAAUGUUGUCUUAGGUACAUCCUCCUUCCUAACCUUCAACUGAUGAUACCCAAUCCGCAAAUCUAUCUUAGAAAAAUACUUUGCCCCUUUCAACUAAUCAAAAAGAUCAUCGAUCCUGGGCAAUGGGUAUUUAUUCUUUAUCGUUAACUUGUUUAACUCUUGAUAGUCGAUACAAAGUCUUAACGAUCCUUCUUUCUUCUUCACAAAUAGUACCGGUGCUCCCCACGGUGAAACACUCGGUUGAAUGUACUUUAUGUCCAAUAGUUCUUGUAAUUAAACCAUCAACUCCUUCAUUUCUACCGGAGCCAUACGAUACGGUGCCCUUGAAACUAGUGUCGCUCCUGGCACAAUAUCUAUUAUGAAUUUGAUCUCCCUAUCUGGAAGAAGACCUGGUAAUUCGCUUGGAAAUACAUCCACGAAUUAUUUGACUAUAGGUAUUUGUUCCAUCGUUGCUCCCACUCUUUGGGUAUCAACAACAUGGCACAAAUAACCUACACAUCCCUUCCUCAAUAAUUUCCUAGUUUGUGUCAUAGUAAGACAACAAGAACUUCCCGGUGAUUUAUUACCGUAAAAUACUAUAUGAGGUUGUCUCGUCGUUCUAAUAUUUACAUAUUUCUUUUGGCAAUCUAUUAUUGCACCAUGGUUAAACAACCAAUCCAUCCCGAGAAUUACAUCGAAUUCUCCCAACUUUAUCUGUAUCAAAUCUAUCGAUAAUUUACAACCUCGUAUAUCUACACAACAACUCCUAUGAAUAUUUUCAACAGGAAUUAUUUCUUCGUUUGCUACCUUGAUAUUCAAAGGUACAGGAAAUCUUUCGGGAAGUAAUUCUAACCGUUUAGCAAAAUCACAUGCUAUAAAUGAACAAGUAGCACCCGAAUCAAAUAGCACGUAAGCAUUUAUGUCGUUGAUCGGGAUAAUACCUGCAACUACAUCCCCUGAUGCCACUGCAUCUUGGACCAUCUUGUUAAAGGUGUGGGCCAUCGGCCUACCCGGCUGAGCUGGACCACUAAUAGCUAGCUUACCACUAUUAGCGCCCUUAUUUCCGUUCGUCCCCUUCUUUGGGCAGUUCUUCGCUAUGUGAUCAGUUGAUCCACAUACGAAGCAUCCAUGGUUCUUCUUCGGACUUGGAUAAUUAGGAAAAAUAUGCCCCUCUUGUCCACAGUUGCAACACACCUACUUCCCCUUGAGAGAGACUCCUAAGUGAGUCUUCCCACAAUUCUUGCACGCCUCCAUUCUCUUCUUGGGAUCUCCUUGCUUCACUCCAGUAUUCCUAGAGUUAAAAUCCUUUCUUUUCUGGUAAUUGCCACUACCGUUGGUUCCCUCGAUUUUCACUCCCCCAUCUACUUUACCCUUAUUUUUUUCUCCCUAUAGUACUAGCUUAAAGCCUCAUUCCCACCCUCAGUGAUUAUCGCCUUCUCCAUAAUGGUCCCAAAAGAAAUACUUUGGAACACUGAUAUCCGGCUAUAGAGCCAGGAUUUCAAGCCCUGCUCGAAUCUUCUAGCCUUCCUCACCUCCGUGUCCACUUGGUGUGGAGCACACCUUGCCAGUUCAUUGAACUUGGAAGCGUAUUAGGGAACAGUCAUCUCCCCUUGUUUCAACUCUAGAAACCUCAUCUCCAUCCUUCCCUGCAUACUCGCGGGAAAUUAGUUCUCAAAGAAAAUCUCCUUGAACCGCGUCCACGUUAAGUUAUCUAUUUCGGCCCUAGCCUGGUUUGCCUCCCACCAAAAGUUGGCCUCCCCCUUAAUCAUGUAGGUAGCAAAAGCAACCUUUUUUCCCUCAUCAACAUUGUCAAUAAAAAAUAUCUUCUCUAUCUCUUUCACCCACGUUUGGGCUUCUAUGGGGUCCGUAGCUCCUUUGAACUCCGGCAGAACUACACUCUUAAAAUCCUUAAACAUAGUAGCCCGUACUAUCGCGGGAUUUAAGGGUACAUUUACCCUAUUCUGGUUAAAGGCAGCCGUUAAUAAAUUAACAAACUCUUGCAUCGGAUUAACCGGUCCCCCUUCCGGUUGAUUUACAUUUGCUCCUUGGUUUCUUUGUCUUCUUCUUGGCGACAUUUUUCUGUUAAAAUAAAUAACAUUUCAUUAUUACUUUCUUUUUGUUAAUUAGUUAUUAUUCAUUAUUAAAUAAUAACUCAUACUCAUUGUAUAACAUGUUCCAUAAAAGAAAACUUAUAUUGCUUUGCUUCUUGUAGUAAAAUACUACAUCGUUCACAUUACACAGCCUAAGCUGAUUACAUUACUUUCCCGUUAUUUCUUUCCAAAAAUUGGGAUUUACAAAAGACUACCCUUUGUUAUACAAAAGAGGGUUUUACGUCACUACAAAGAUACUACGUAUUUACAUAUCUAUUCUACUCUAACUAAUAGCUAGAUUACAUCUGCAUUAAGAAAUUUUCAAAGUCGGCAUUAGCAAGACCGACUAUCACAUCUCAGCUGAUAGUAUGCCGAGCCUGCCCCACCUCCAUAGGAUAUUCAGCCACUUGUCGCUGAAAAUCCCCGUGCUAACUCCUAUGUAUAUAGGACAUUCGGCUAACCUUCUGCUUCUUGGUCUUUAGCUCCUGCCUAAGCUCAAAGACCUCAUGUUUAAGCUUAUAGACCUUGUCCUUAGCUAACACCUUCUCAUCUUACUCCUCCUCCCACAUAGACUCCAUACUCUUUUUAUCCUCCAAGACUGCAUGGAGUUCCUUCUUCAGUUCCUUGACUUCCUUCCCAUAUUGAAUGUUUCUAUCCAAUACAAUUAUGAAUAGUGAUUUCAUUGACUCCUCAGACAUGCCAUCAAACAUAGACAUGAGGUCUGGGUUUUCAAAGUCUCCAGACUCAACAACUACCACUUUUAGCUCUUCAGCUACUAGGUUCGGUAUAAUCUCUACUUAAUUCACCGACUCUUCACUUACAAUAUGUAUAUCCCUAUACAUAACGCUAUCUCCUGACAUCUACAAUAAAACAAAUUAGUUUGAUUAGUAAACAUCAUUAGCAUAGUAAAAACACAUAUCACAUUUAAUGCAUUUUUAGGGUUAACUUCUUCUUUUAAUUCUUUAACUUUUCGUAAGGUUAUAACUUCAGGUUCUAUUUUCCCCCCUUAAGUUUUAUAACCUAUUGCUCUGAUACCAACUUGUGAUGCCCCCAAAUUCGGGUAUCUUCCAACCCGACAGAUGGUGCUACACGGUACUACCAUUCACACAUACAUUUAAUUAAAAUUACUAAAAAGAGUGAAUAUGUCUUCUAUAUAUUCCAAAAUAAUAUUCCCUUCCCAGGUUCUUUAUAACCAAUACAUCUGUUUCUUGUCAUAAUAUCAAAUAAUUACAACAUUAAACCUAUACUAUAACAUAGACAGUUCAGUGGUCUGCCUUAGCCUUUCCUUUACCCUUAGAGGAUCCUUCGGGUCGUUCAGUCUUAGUUGCAUUCAUAUGGUUCAAGCAAGAGUGAGCAUAACUAGCUCAGCAAGUAUGACAAUUUCAUUUAAACAACAUGCUUGAAACAUAGGAAUCGUAUAUCUUCAAUAACUGAACAAUAGUUAUGAAGUAUUAUCGAUAAUUCAAAAUAGCACUUUUUUUCCUUUAAAACAUUUCACAAUGAAUCACGUUCAUUAAACAUAUAGUUUGGUCCAAGACCUUGAGCAUUCAUUCUUUCUUUGAAAAGGACAACCCAUCAAUAAGUUCGUAAGUCCAGUAUUACUUACGAGCAGGUCUAGGUGGUCAGCCUAUAGUACUCUAUGUUGUAAAACACUUCUUCUGUAAACAUAUUUACGUUUAAGUUUUGGCAACCUCACGUGCCUGUCGUUUGAUGACAAAAUUUUUGUUUAUUCAUAAUCAGUCUUUCUUUGAAAUCCAUACCAAAAUAGUUUGGCAAAAGAUAGCAACUUUGAUAACAUUUUAAUAGAUUAUAAGAAAUUCAGUAUACACAUUAAGUCUAGCCGAAAGAACUGGCUUUGACCUAAGCAUACAUUAAUUUAUGUGCAAGAUACAUGAAUUGCAAAACUUUUUCAGAAUGAACAUAGACAAGGGUUAGAACACUUGCCUUCAGCGUCUUCUACCGAUUAAAUACUUUUCCUUUUGAGUCUUUAAGGUCUCUACAAUACAUAACCAGGUAACAUACUACAUUAGGUCACAGUCAGAUAUGUAUGAUAUCUAACUUAUCUUACCCUUCUUCUCAAUAUAAUUUGUUUAUUAGAUUUGUUAACAUUGCUUACGUUCUACCGUAUUACAUUGUGUUUACGUUCAAGUAAUCUUCCUUCGACCUUUAGUUGUAUUACUUAAGGUUUUUAACAUCUUAAAUGUUGUUACUUUAAGCUAAUUAAUGUUAUACUUCAUCAUUAAUCAACUGACUUCCUUUUAUAUUCAUAACCAUGCUGUAUUGUGCCUUGUCUAGUUCUGGCACUGCGGCGCCAGCUUCCCUUUAUAAGGCUCGCGCUACGACAUGAAUCUCUAGUAACUUAUGUCCGGACCUAGCGCUGCGGCCCCAUCCCUAGUUCAUUUAGCCGCGCUGCGGCGCCACUCUAUAGUUGGUUAUUAGCAUGCUCAACGCUGCGGCACCACCAUUUAAGCCUUGGUUGGCACUGCAGUGCCAACUCUGUGCAGCAGAAAACUUUGACAGUUUUCUUACAUAACGAACUUUCCAGACUCAUAAAUUGUUCAUUUUAAGUCCGAAUUGGCUCGUUCAAAAGCCAUUAGCUCACAAAUCAUAUGAACUAAGUGUUCAUAUAAGAAUUUUACAUUUUUGAAUUCGUUAACAUGGAAUUCACCAUUUAAAUCCAUUUUUACGAAAACGAUAAAUGUUCGUGAACGUUCAUAGCUCAUUUCUUCGUUCUAAGUCGGAAUUUGACCAUUUUCGAGUCCACAACUCUAAAAUGCAAAUUUAGACUAUUCUAUAUUGAAAACCAACAUUUCCGAGUUCAAUGCUAACUUUUGACUUCUAUUUCGAGAAUUUCACGAUUUCGACGAUUAUCGUCUAAUCUCGUAAAUUCCGCCAUAACUUCGUUACUUAAGAUUUUUACACCGUUCCAAAUGGAUUCAUUCCAUUAUCACAACAUGUAUAAUCUAAGCCUACAAAUUAUGGUUUUAAAAUUGUCCAUCAAUAACAACAUAAUCCAAUUCUUCAAUAACUUUCAAUGGAUUAUAGCUUUUAUACUUGUGAUUUCACUUUCACAUGGUUUAUUAAGGUUUCAUCUAUUAAAAAUCAUCCUUAUCACUCCUUAACAAACAUGCUUUACCACUACUCACUUCUCUAACAAAUGAAGAGAUGAAGAGUCAUGGUUUAGUAGUCUUACCCUUAAAGUUCUCUUACUUUCUUCUUAUUCUUCCUUUUGUUCUAGCAAAGUUCUAGCUUUUUUCACUUUUGUCUCAAUAAUAUGAAAGCUCUAAGUUGUUGGUGGAAUUUUGAACAAGCAAAUAAUUUAACAACCUUCUUAUAUUUAUAGAAUUUUCAAAGUGAGGGUAUAAUAGACAUAAAGCCCUUCCACCUCCUUAAUCCACCUCCUUAAUCACCUCCUUCCUAUUCAUCCUUGGUCACCAAGUAAAACCACUUUACUUGGUCACCAAGAUGGUGUCAUGUGAUCCAUGGGGCCCACAUGGGUUACCCCAUGGGUCUUUCUUACCCAUCGAUUCGAUCCACGGAUCCGGUUCUUAGUUUGGGCUUAAGUUUAAAUAACUUUAACUUAACAUUUGGGCUUGCAUUAACAAACAUUGGGCUUUAACAUUCAUUCACUUAGGCUUGUACAACUUUUACACAAAUCCUACAAGUCCAAUACACUUAACUUAAAGCUUAUAACGUAUUGUCUACGUAUUCCUCUCGUAUGUUAACUCAUAUACUCAUUCAUUAUAUACGAUAUAUCAUCAUUCAUACAUACUCAUAUAAUACCUCGUAUCAUACUCGUAUUCAUUACCUCGUACAAUACUUACGCAUCAUACGAUCAUCAUUUAUUCCUUAACGUUUCACUUUCCCUAACAUUCUCGAAUUUAGUACGCAGACGAAAAACUGUGUUUGCCAUACUUGAAUUAUUAUUACAUAAUUCAUCCUUCCUUGUUAUUUUAUCAUUAUGUAUUUCUCGGAAGUUGAAAAAUAAUUCCCAAACAGAAAUCGAUGAAUAGUGUUUUUCAGAAAAUUUCUCGAAAAACUUUUAUUUUCGUCUUAAAAAUUAAAACACUUUAAUUCUAUCACGUAGCCAAAAUACUACGACAUUCCAACACUAUUAGGUUAUAGAAUGACAUUCAUCUUGCUUACUCAUUAUAAAAUAAUUUUAUUCGUUAUUUAAAUAAAAAUAUUUUACAAAUGAUCCGAUUUUCUCGGUCGUUACAAUCUUAACCACAUCCGCACAUUUUAGGUCAUAGAACGACCUUCAUACAGCUUACUCACAUAAAUAAUCAAUUAAAUUCAUUUAAUUCAAAUAAUCAAAUAAAAAUUUAAUUCACAUAAAAAUACGAUUUUCUCGUGCGUUACACAAAUUACAAAAAAUACCUAAAUAAUCAAAAAAAUCGAUUAAAAAAAUUGAUUCAAUUCGGUAUUAUUCGUUUUUUACUCGGUCCUAUUUGAAUUGACAUAAAUUGAAUGACGAAAUAAAUAGCUAAUAAAUUCAUCCAAGAACGUUAAAAUUAGUUAAAUUAAUUAUUUUGUCCAACUCCAACAUCUCUUCAUCCACAAUAUUAUCUUCCACUUUCGUAUUUAAGAAUUAAUAGAUUUUUUUAUUUAAUUUUGUGUAGAAAUAAGUUGCCCUAUUAAUAUAGAUCAAUAUAUUAUUUGUCGUUAAAUACAUAUUUACUUUGAAAUAUAUAUAUAUAUAUAUAUAUAUAUAUAUAUAUAUAUAUAUGGCUGCAUCUAUAACAACCGGUUGCUAGGAGCAACCUAAAAAGUCAAGGCACAACAGCUUGUAGCAGUUGGGACAAUUAAAAUGGGACAUCCUAUUUUAAUUGUCUCAGACGCUACAAGCUGUAGUGGCUAGAGUAACCUUCUUUUUGGCACUUAUCUUCUUUUACCACUUUGAUUAUUAAUACUAUUAUAUUAAUAUUUUAUAAUAUUAGUAUUUAAAUAUUAAUAUUAAUAAUAGUAUUUUUUAAUAUUAUUAAUAUUAUUAAUAUUAUUAUAUUAAAUACUAAUAUUACAAAAUAUUAUAUUAUUAUUAAUAUUAUAAAAUAUUGUAUUAAUAAUAUUACAAAAUAUUAUUAUUAAUAUUAAUAUUAUAAAUAUUACAAAAUAUUAUUAUUUAUAUUAAUAUUAUAAUAUUAUUACGAAAUAUUAUAAUAUUAUUACAAAACAUUAAUACUCAUAAUAUAAUAUUAUUACAAAAUAUUAAUAUUAAUACAAAAUAUUAAUAUUUAUUAUAUUAUAAGUAUUAAUAUAUUAUAAAUAUAAAUAAUAAUAUUUUGUAAUAUUAUUAAUACUUAAUAUUAAUAUUAUAAUAUUUUGUAAUAUUUAUAAUAUUAAUAUUAAUAAUAAUAUUUUGUAAUAUUAUUAAUACAAUAUUUUGUAAUAUUAGUAUUUAAUAUAAUAGUAUUAAUAAUAUUACAAAAUAUUAUUAAUAUUAAUAUUAUAAAUAUAAAUAUUAUAAAUACUAACAUUACAAAAUAUUAAUAUAAUAGUAUUAAUAAUUAAAGUGGUAAAAGAAGAUAAGUGUCAAAAAGAAGGUUACUCUAGUCGCUACAAGCUGUAGCGGCUGGGAUAAUUAAAAUGGUACGUCCCAUUUUAAUCGUCCCAGUGCCAUGGAUGCGUAUAUAUAUAUAUAUAUAUAUAUAUAUAUAUAUAUAUAUUACCAGUGUUGGAAAAACUCCAAAGGCAACAGAAAGAUAAAAAUUAUUGACUUGCGGCGGCAUCAGACUAUGGUCCUACAAGCGCACGGUAAAGUAUAGCUUAUCUAAAUCAUAACUGAAAUUUUUGUAUCAGCUAUAUCUUACAAAUUUAUUAGCACAAAUCACCAUUUACUACUUUUGGCUAAAGAAAAACUUGUACAAAAAUUUACAUAUGCAGAAAAGGUAAACCAGAGGCCUAAAAAAGCCAAACAACUGGGAAAAAAAAUUCGAAGUACACAUUUCACAGGAUCUAACACGACCUUUGCUCUUUGAUGUUGCUAAAAACUUUGGAGAAAAGAUAAUUUAUAUGAUAGCUCAAAGUUUAUAAUGUAUAAAUGUGAUUCUGUACAGCAGAAACAAAACAGAGCAGUCCAGAAACGCAAAGUUCUAGAUAUGUAAAGGCGAGCUUAAAAAUCAACAAACACCCAAGCCAUAUCUUCAGCUAACAAAAGUUGUAGUGCUCAAGCAACGAACAAGAUCAACCAUCUGUUCAUUUUUCUGAUUGUUGUUACAUGUUCAUGAUUAACCCCGUCAAGUUCAUGGCAAAAUUCUGGCUGACCUCUCAUUUCUUGUAAACCAAACUUGGGAAUCUGCCGUCCUUGCGCCUCUCAAAUUCAACCUUGGGAAAUGUGUAACGUAAUCCUGUAUCUAGAUCUCAGUUUCGGAUAUCACCAACAUUUUCAAACUCACCGCGUUGGGGUAUCUUUAGAAUAUCUCACCUAUCCCUAAUCUAUCUUCUACUUUUGCUCAUUUGUCCUCACCAGGUACGUUCGGUUCUUUUUGCGGUGUCGGGUGCACAGGAGUUUUUGAUGCCUCUUCGUGUGUAUAAUCACGAAAGUUGAUUCUUGAAGGUUCUAUUUUUGUACAGAACACUUCCAGAAAAUUAUCUGUACAGCCUCGAUCAUAGAUAUUGUGUCUGUUGUAACGGCGAAAGUUCUCGUAUGUGGUCUGGAGAUAUAAUACAGCAUAAUUUAGACAAAUUUAUAGCAGUGAAGAAAUAAUAAAUAAACAAACAAAUGAUAUACAAACACACGUAUACGUAUGUAUAUGGUACAAUACCACAUUAGUAGCUUAUAAAGCAUUCAAAAUAACGAACUGAUGCAGGAGUCGAUGAAAGAAGAACUUCCUGGUUUUGCCCUUGUAUUAGAAACUUGGAAGGAAAAAAAAAGAACAACUUCUCGGUAUUCUCUAGAUCCUAAUGCAGGAAGGAAUUAAAUAAUAAUAGUGUAUUUGAUAAUCAUUUUGGAGGAUAAAUCAUUCCAAUGGAAUGGAAUGAAAAUUCAUUUCAUCCCUAUGUUUUUUAUUCCAUGUUGAGAAGGUAGAAUAAAAUAAAUUCCAAUGGAAUGAAAAUAUGUGAUAAUUUCGUGACAAUAUCUACCACCACAAAACAACUAAACAUACACUUAAAAUACCUUAAAAUCAUUCAAUUCCUUCAAUCCAAACGCAACAUAAAAACUUAGCAAGUAUAAAAUGUACCGGUGAUUUCUUGGCUAGAUGAGAAAACAAAGAAAAACUUUUAAUCACCUAUAAGCAAAAUAUAUGGGGAGGAACAAGUUUUUGUUAGUCAAGUCCUCACCCACUCCCGCUGUAACAAUCCAAGAUUUUAUUUAUAAUUUAAAAUAUUUAUUAAAUUAAAUAAAUAUUUUAUUGAUGAAGUUGUUGUUUUGUAAUUUGAAAUAUUUCUUAAAUUAAAUAAGUGUUCUAUUUAUGUGGUUGUUAUUAGUAGGUAUGUGUAAAUUAAAUUUAUUAGAUAACACUCUAAUAAAUAUUUUAUUAAUGUGAUUGUUGUUAUUAAAUAUUUAUGAAUUAAAUUUAUUAGAUAACACUCUAAUAAAUAUUUUAUUAAUGUGAUUGUUGUUAUUAAAUAUUUAUGAAUUAAAUUUGUUGGAUAAUAUUCCAAAUUAAUUUAGUUUAUAAUUUAGAGAGUUGUAAUGUGGCAUGAGAUGUUAUAUUGUUGUUUUAAUUUAAUAAUUAUAGUGAUAUGUUAAUUUAUUAAAUAAAAUUAUAAUGAGAUUAUAAUUUGUGAUAUUUGGAUUAAGUGGGAAAAUUUGUUUAGUAUGUUGUAAUUGGUUAUUUAACUAAUGUUGAAUAUGGAGAUAUAAAUAUGAGAUUUUAAACUAUAGUGUAAGUGGUUUAUUAAAAUAAAAUUAAAGUAAUUUUUUAAUUGAUUUAACCAAACAAGGCUUAAAAUAUUAAGUCUUUAUUUUAAAGACUUUUUGCCAAACAAAGCCUUAUGGAUUUUGGAUUUUUUAUUUUUGAAUUUCAAUUAAAUAAAUAAAAUAAAUAUAAUAUAUACGUUUAUUUUUUGUAACUGUCAUAACAAUUAGUAUGCGUAUUUAGAUUUUAUCAAUUUUAUGUAUACACUUGGCCAUAUCAGUUUUCUUUACGCAUACUUGACUAAGUCUGGGAGUUCAGAGAAUUGAGAAUUGAGAGAAAUUGAGAGAAAGCCUAAGGAUUACUAGCAGUUUCAGUGGUUUAGCAAGGAUUUCUUAAGCAACAAAAAUGUAUGUUACAUAACCUUAACGUAUAUAUUUUACAAGCCUACAAUCUCUAAGUCUCUGUGUUCAUGAGGUGCACUCACUGUGUAUAAAGUUUUACAAAAUUUUCUGUAAACUGUGUGUUAUAAUUGGUUAUGAUAAUAUGUGUAAUUGUAAUUGUUAUCACCAACAUGUCUAUAUGUAUAUAGGUGUUGUAUGCUAGAUUACGUUCAAAAAGAAAGGAAUUAUUUUUACAGUAAACAUCCAUGUAUGAACGUAAUUUAUAGAAAUAUCAAAAUUAGUAUAUAUUAAUUAUGAAAUUAUGAAAUUGAACCUUAUGUAUGUUAAUUGGGUAAGAACUUAAAGAGAACUUAGUUCAAAAGAAUCAAAUUGGUGUAUCAUUAUGAUUACAGUGUUCACUGUGUCAAGAAAUAUCAAAAAUGGAGUUUUGGUUUUAAAAUAUGUUAUUCCAGUAUUUAAUUUUUCUAGAAUUAUGGUUUAAGUUGUGUUAAUUUAGUAUUUGUAUGCUUGGUGAAGUUUAUGUGUAAUUUGCAUAAGUUAAUUGGUGUUAGAAAUUAAGACAUAGUUUUGUUCUGUGUUUUGUUUUGGGGUGUUCUGUAAUUCGGAGCUCCAGCGCCAAAAUAAGCGCCCCAGCGCCAAAACUGGCCCAAAAGUUCGCGCCCCAGCGCUGGAAUUCGCGCCCCGGCGCCACUUUCUCGUGCCCCAAUGCUAGAAAAAUAGUCUCGAUCAGACAGUUUUAACCUCAUAUAGUAAAAUGGCCAUAACGUUUUCAUACGAACUCCGAUUGAGGUGAUUCAAGAUGAUUCGGAAAGAGGACGAAUAGGCCUAUAACUUUAAUUCUUUAAGGUUUUCAAUAUGAAAUCGUUAUGAAGGGUCAAAAUGGCCAUCGUUAGGACUGUUGUGUAUUUGGAGCCAAUCGGAGGGCGUCGGGAUGCGCGAAUGCAAGUGCAAUCCUUUGUGUAUUAGUAUAACUUAAUGAUAACAUGUUGGACAUGUAAUAGGAUGUUGUAUCAAGUUGUUAAUGUGUAUAUGGUGCAAUGACAUGAUCACUUAAGUAGUUGUAAUAAAGCUAAAAAGUAAUGUUCAUGAAAAGAUGCGAUGUUGUUUAAACUUAAACUUAGUUAGUAGCUAUACUAAAAGUAAGAAAGCAACUCAUGAAGGUAAUGUUAGUGUAACUAAUCUGUAUUGUCAAUACAUAUGGUAUGUGUAGGACUUGGUGUGAACGUGAGUAGUGAUUGUUUAACCUAUGCACGAGGCAAGUUCCCUAACCUUUGCUACUUUAUUAUUCAGCAAGGUUACUUUUCACUGUUAUAUUAUACUUAUGCAAAUUCUCUAUUUCUAAUCUCUUGUUUACCGAUUUAUUGUCAUGAAAGUUCUUUAACCCUCAUUUAUUGUUGAGCAAGUUAGUUAAUCUUUGUUUAUCUAUUCCAAUCGAGAUUACCUUGGUUAUUCAAAGUCUGUACUCAUUUAUUGUUGAGCAAGUUAGUUAAUCUUUAUCUCUUUAUUCAAAGUCUGUAUUAUUAUUGUAAGAAGUGUGUUUAUUCAGCUACUAAUAACUGUUGUUUGAUCUUCGCUCUUCAAUAUCAUUGUACUAUCUUACAUUAUUGUAUCUAACUCUAAGUUUCUUAGCAAUUCUUUACCAAUUCAACUAAUCCUUAGUUGAUGAAUGUUCUAAACUCUAAAUUACCCUUGAAGUCUACCCAAACCAAACUUCCUUUGGUUUGUUUAUGUACUCACACAACUUUGAAAGCAUGUUGUCAAUGAUAACAUUUGUUCAACUUAGAAAUUGUUAAUACUCUAGCCCUUAUUGAUUCAUCGAUAUACCUUGUUCAUGAAGAUAUUAUAAUCAAACCCUUGAAUAGUUAUUGGUUCCUAUCUGAUUCAACCAGUACUUGGUUGAUGAGCGUUCUAAAAAUCUAGACUUCCUUUGAAGUUAAUUCCCAACCAAACUUCCUUUGGUUCGGAACCUGAUAAUCUAAGCUGAGAUGAACAACCCUAUAUCAGGGGAUUAUUUUAGAGCUACGCAAUAGCGUUAAAAUGUUUGCGCAAUACAUAGUACAAAGGGCUGAUCACCUGGAGUACGGAAUGAUGGUCCAUAUAGUCGUUUAGACUGUUAAAGGUUACAGUAGAAACACCUGUGAACCUAGGACAUAGAUGAUGAUUAUAGUCUUUUAGACUGUUAAAGGUUAAAGUAGAAAUACUUGAAAACCUAGAAUAGAGUUCGUGGUCUUGUGACCCUCAGUGUAUUCUUUGAUGUUGUUAUCUAUUGUUAACUUAAACGUUCAUUAUUCCUUUGAACUCAUAGCUGUUGAAUUAAAGUUUAUUGUUCCGGUAAGAAUACUUUACCAUUGAAAGCUCAGUUAAUUGUCAUUCAUAAAACGUUAUUGUAUAUUAUCCUUCUUGUGGGCAAUUGUUUGCUCACUCUUGCACAAAACAAUGCAAAUGAAGUUACGAAGUUUAAAAAGCUUUAUACAAGCAAGGGCAAGGACAAAGUGCUUGAUUAGACGACAACGUUUAAUUUAUAUUUUAUUUAUGAAGCUUAUGUAAUGGAUUUAGUUAUAAUCAUGUUUUAAUUUUCUGCGAAUGAUUGUAAUAAAGGUUAGAUGACCUGGGAUUUAUUUUAGAUGAUGUAACCCUUUAAUGGGAGAUUAAUUGUCUAAACUUUUGAGUUUAAUUAUAUCCUUUGUUUAUGGGUAGUUAGUUAUGAUUUAUUUGGACAGUGAACACCAAAUCUGUGGGGUUGAAGUGCCCGGAUUUUGGGGUGUCACAAGUUGGUAUCAAAGCUUUAGGUUAUGAACCUUAGGUGGGGAAACCUUAGGCUAUAACCUUCUAGGAGAUCAAAAAUAUAGAGGUGAUAAACUCUUAUCGAGUUUUAAGGAAUGAAUUGAGGGAAAUCCAUUGAAGAUAAAAUGAUAAAAGACCUUAUGUGUUUAUGUGUUAAUGACUUAUGUGCUCGUGAGUACUUAGGAGUAGCGAGUAUUAUACAUACUCGUUGAUUUCUGUUGUAGACCUUGGGUAUAGGCUUGAGUUUGAACGAGAGGAUAAAUUUGGGGUGAUAAAGGUGAAGGAUGAGAACGAGGAGGGGGAAUUCCUCCAAUGAGGUAUAUGAUCAUAACAUUGAGUUAUAAAAGAAGGUCGAGAAAUUAGAAGGUCAAGCUGUAAAGCACCAAGCCACAUUAGCGCAAGAAGAUUUCGCGACUAAAGACCUUACUGCACAAUUUGUAGAUGUAGAGCGGAUAUUAGCUCAGUCAGAAUAUUAAAGAGGAUAGUUAUUAGCUGGGAAUGAGAUUGCACAGUAAUGACUGAGAAAAGAAGUCAGCAAAGCGUGCGAGAGCUAAACACACAAGGGUGAAGGCUUCUAAACGCAUAGAUCGUGUUGAAUACAAGUUGAAGAAGGCCAAGCGAAUGAUGGAACUUAGAAUUUAGUAUUCUAUUUUCUAUAUAGGUUGAGAUUUAUUUUUGGUAUAUGAUAGAUCGUCAAUGAUUCGUAUCAUGGAGCAAGAGCGCAAUGAAGUUGUACAAUGUGGAAUGUAAAUCCUGACUUUUAAAUUAAAUAGUGGGAUAUGAUGAUGUAAUCCUAGAAUUUUAUUAUUACAGGAUAAAUAAUAUAAAUAGCAGUGAGGCUAUUUUGUUAUGUGGUGAUGUAAUAAAUGAAUAAAGACAUCAUUGUUUAUUAAGAUAUAUUAUGUGUUGUUUAAAAGUGGUUGAGAUAAGCUUAAAAGUUUUAAUGUAUGGAUGAAUGAUGAUCUAAUAGUUCAAGUUUUAAACAGUAAGAUGCCGCCUAGAAGAAGACAACAACGUCAACAGAGCCCCAAGGAAUAUGCAUACAAUAGGGAAGCUAACGCAAAUCUAAUGCCACAAUUGGUGAAUUUUCUGGUGGGAGCACUGGCAAAUCAACUGAAUUUCUGGCUAUACAAUCAAAUCUCGAUGUUCCAACCAAAUUCGUUUACAACAGAGCUGGAAAGAACGAUUGAUGUAGACGGGGAAGGUAAUACGCUGGCAUUCAAUCAAGAGCAGAGGGGAAGGAAGAGUGCAAAUGAUAAGGUGGAUGAUAGUUAUACCGGUAACGCCUGGAAAAGAAAGUGGGACAAUAAUAUUAACGCUGAAAAUCAGCAAGGGAAGGAAAAGAAGAAGGUGGAGGCAUGUAGCAACUACAGAAAAAAACAUGUAGGUGUUUGUUUGAAGGGAAAAAGAGUGUGCUUUAAUUGUGGUUUGAAGGGCCAUAUUGCACCAAAGUGUUCAAGACCGAGGAAGGAAGCCUGCUUCAUGUGUGGAUCGAAGGAGCACUUGGCUCGAGAGUGCCCAAAGAAAGCUGUAGGAAAAGCAAGUGGAAGCAAAGGGGGCAGUGGCAAACUGGUUAUCGUGGAAUCGGUUCCGUCUAGUCGACCAACUGAACAAUCAACCAACAUGACGAUCCAGGACGUAAUGCAAGGUAUGGUUCCGAUAAGUUAUCUAUACGGUAACGUGUUAUUUAAUUCAAGUGCCACUUGAUAAUUUUGCCUGAUGAAUUCGUUUAGAAACUAGAUUCGCUUCAGGAAGAGUUAGACUUCUCCCUAAUUAUGGAAAGUAUGAAUAUUGAUUCUUUUAAGUUGAUGUGUAGAAUUUAUAUAUUGGAAUUAAUAUGGCACCUGUGAUGUCUCUACCAGAUAAUACAGGAAUGUUGUGUUGUAUAGCGACGCGUCCUAUAAUAUACUAGGUUGUGUGUUUAGGCAGAGCGACAGGGUCAUUUCUUAUGCCUCGUGUUAGUUAAAAUUUUUAUGAGAAAGGAUAUCUGACUCAUGAUUUGGAGCUAGAGCUGAUAGUGGUUGCCUGAGGAUUUAACGAUAUUACUUUUGGAUAGUAGUGUGAGAUAUAAAGAAACCAUAAGUGUCUAAAGUAUAUAGGGGUAUUUAAGCAUGCGUUGAAGUGAUAGUAGGAGUUAAUCAAGGAUUGUGAAUGCAAAAUCCUAAACGAUCGUGGUUGCUGAGAUCUUAAGAAAAAGGUAGGAGUUAUUUUUAUUAACUGUGCAAGAUGGGUUCAUAAUAGAAAUGACUAAUUUGUGGUAGGAGGUAAGGUAUAUGAAAAGUCAGAGGAGAAGCUGUUCAGGUGGAAAACCGUAUAACUUUGCUAGACAGAGUAAAGGAAGAGUAGCUCCAAGAUGAGGGUGUCAAAUUCAAAAUCGAUACUGAAGGAUAGCUGAAAGUAGAAGGAAGAAACUAGGUUUCACUAAUAUCAGGAAUUGAAAAAGGAAGUUUUGCAUAAAAUUUAUAUGUUAAAUUAACUAGGAAGCACAAAAAUAUAUAUAUUGCCUUCGAUAAUACUAUUGGGGGCAAGAUAUGGUGAUAGAUUCUAUGGUAUGUCGAACUUAGCAUUUUACCUAUCGAACAGUGUGUGAAGUUGUAUGUUAACGAAAUUAUUUCAAGGCACGGUGUUUCAGUGUCAAUUGUUCCGAAUCGAGAUUCGCGAUUUACAUCGAAUUUUCAGAAAGGUUUGCAAGAACGUGUGGAACACAAUUAGAAAUAAGUAUGUCAUAUCGAUUGCAAAUCAAUUGCCAAACUAAAAGGAAAUCCAGACAUCGAAAAGCGUGCUACGAGCACGAGAAGUUUUUGAUAAUUUCAUACGAGGAAUCCGCAUUGAGCAAGUUAUGGGUAAGUUAAGAAUAAGUUAAGAGUAAGGUAAUGUUAGGUGGGAUUUCAAUUAAGGACUCAUAUAGUAACUAAGUCAAACAAACUUUUGUAUGGGCAGAGGUUUUGGUGCAUAUACUUGGUUUAUCACAUUGAUAAUCAUUGGAAUAUCGGUAUCACGCUAUCCAUGUACAUGUGGUCAAAAGGUGAUUCUUUUCUCAUGUACAUUUUUGAUAGUUAGAUGAUAUUAGGAUUAGGUUUGGUUCUUAAAACUAAAGCAUAUGGUAAGUUCGUGACUCAUAAUCAUAUGGUAUGUUUUGAACCCCUCAACGAAUGGACGCCUAUGGUCUGACUAGGAUAAGUUCCUAAACUCAUAUGAUUAUGGCAAGUUACUGAAUUUCCAAAGUGUGGUAUGUUUGAUGAACUAUAUUGGGUAUAAUACGGUUAUGGUGUAGGAAGCAUUGAUGAAGCUGAAAAGAUGGUUUUGAGGCAGCCUUACCUCUAUAGUUAGAGUGCAUUCGUAAUGUUUUUCAUGUUUUGGUGAUAUGAUCAAACAAGCCCGACUGCAAUCAUGGGAUGGUUACGAACCGUUAUGGUUGUUCUACUAGGAAAUUACUAUCCAUUUAGUCGACAGAAAAGAACAAAUGCUCAGGGAUAAGGUAAUACCUUCUGUGAAGGUGAUAUGGAGGAACCACCGCGUUGAAGAUGCUACGUGGGAACUCAAAACUGAAAUGAUGAAGAAUUGCCCUGAGUUAUUUGUUUACUCUAUGUCUUCAAUUCUGGGGACAGAAUCUUUUUAAGGAGGGAAGAAUGUGACGAACGAAUUGUUUGAGUUGUGAUUCUGGGGACAAAAUCUUUGUAAGGAGGGAAGGAUGUAACAAUCCAAGAUUUUAUUUGUAAUUUAAAAUAUUUAUUAAAUUAAAUAAAUAUUUUAUUAAUGUGAUUGUUGUUAUUAAAUAUUUAUGAAUUAAAUUUGUUGGAUAAUAUUCUAAAUUAAUUUAGUUUAUAAUUUAGAGAGUUGUAAUGUAGCAUGAGAUGUUAUAUUGUUGUUUUAAUUUAAUAAUUAUAGUGAUAUGUUAAUUUAUUAAAUAAAAUUAUAAUGAGAUUAUAAUUUUGUGAUAUUUGGAUUAAGUGGGAAAAUUUGUUUAGUAUGUUAUAAUUGGUUAUAUAACUAAUGUUGAAUAUGGAGAUAUAAAUAUGAGGUUUUAAACUAUAGUGUAAGUGGUUUAUUAAAAUAAAAUUAAAGUAAUUUUUUAAUUGAUUUAACCAAACAAGGCUUAAAAUAUUAAGUCUUUAUUUUAAAGACUUUUUGCCAAACAAAGCCUUAUGGCUUUUGGAUUUUUGAUUUUUGAAUUUCAAUUAAAUAAAUAAAAUAAAUUAAAAUAAUAAAUAUAAUAUAUACGUUUAUUUUUUGUAACUGUCAUAACAAUUAGUAUGCGUAUUUAGAUUUUAGCAAUUUUAUGUUUACACUUGGCCAUAUCAGUUUUCUUUACGCAUACUUGACUAAGUCUGGGAGUUCAGAGAAUUGAGAAUUGAGAGAAAUUGAGAGAAAGCCUAAGGAUUACUAGCAGUUUCAGUGGUUUAGCAAGGAUUUCUUAAGCAACAAAAAAGUAUGUUACAUAACCUUAACGUAUAUAUUUUACAAGCCUACAAUCUCUAAGUCUUUGUGUUCAUGAGGUGCACUCACUGUGUAUAAAGUUUUACAAAAUUUUCUGUAAACUGUGUGUUAUAAUUGGUUAUGAUAAUAUGUGUAAUUGUAAUUGUUAUCACCAGCAUAUCUAUAUGUAUAUAGGUGUUGUAUGCUAGAUUACGUUCAAAAAGAAAGGAAUUAUUUUUACAGUAAACAUCCAUGUAUGAACGUAAUUUAUAGAAAUAUCAAAAUUAGUAUAUGUUAAUUAUGAAAUUAUGAAAUUGAACCUUAUAUAUGUUAAUUGGGUAAGAACUUAGUUCAAAAGAAUCAAAUUGGUGUAUCAUUAUGAUUACAGUGUUCACUGUGUCAAGAAAUAUCAAAAAUGGAGUUUUGGUUUUAAAAUAUGUUAUUCCAGUAUUUAAUUUUUCUAGAAUUAUGGUUUAAGUUGUGUUAAUUUAGUAUUUGUAUGCUUGGUAAAGUUUAUGUGCACUUUGCAUAAGUUAAUUGGUGUUAGAAAUUAAGGCAUAGCUUUGUUCUGUGUUUUGUUUUGGGGUGUUUUGUAAUUCGGAGCCCCAGCGCCAAAUUUCACGCCACAGCGCCAAAAUCUUCGCCCUAGCGCCAAAAAUGGCCCAAAAGUUUACGCCCUAGGGAUGUAAUUCGCGCCCCAGCGCUGGAAUUCGCGCCCCGGCGCCACUUUCUCGUGCCCCAACGCUAGAAAAAUAGUCUCGAUCAGACAGUUUUCACCUCCUAUAGUAAAAUGGCCAUAACUUUUUCAUACGAACUCCGAUUGAGGUGAUUCAAGAUGAUUCGGAAAGAGGACGAAUAGGCCUAUAACUUUAAUUCUUUAAGGUUUUCAAUAUUAAAUCGUUAUGAAGGGUCAAAAUGGCCAUUGUUAGGACUGUUGUGUAUUUGGAGCCAAUCGGAGGGCGUCGGGAUGCGCGAAUGCAAGUGCAAUCCUUUGUGUAUUAGUAUAACUUAAUGAUAACAUGUUGGACAUGUAAUAGGAUGUUGUAUCAAGUUGUUAAUGUGUAUAUGGUGCAAUGACAUGAUCACUUAAGUAGUUGUAAUAAAGCUAAAAAGUAAUGUUCAUGAAAAGAUGCGAUGUUGUUUAAACUUAAACUUAGUUAGUAGCUAUACUAAAAGUAAGAAAGCAACUCAUGAAGGUAAUGUUAGUGUAACUAAUGUGUAUUGUCAAUACAUAUGGUAUGUGUAGGACUUGGGGUGAACGUGAGUAGUGAUUGUUUAACCUACGCACGAGGCAAGUUCCCUAACCUUUGCUACUUUAUUAUUCAAAAAGGUUACUUUUCACUGUUAUAUUAUACUUAUGCAAAUUCUCUAUUUCUAAUCUCUUGUUUAAUGAUUUAUUGUCAUGAAAGUUUUUUUACCCUCAUUUAUUGUUGAGAAAGUUAGUUAAUCUUUGUUUAUUUAUUCCAAUCGAGAUUACCUUGGUUAUUCAAAGUCUGUAAUCAUUUAUUGUUGAGCAAGUUAGUUAAUCUUUAUGUAUUAUUAUUGUAAGAAGUGUGUUUAUUCAGCUACUAAUAACUGUUGUUUGAUCUUCGUUCUUCAAUAUCAUUGUACUAUCUUACGUUAUUGUACUGAACUCUAACUUUCUUAACGAUUCUUUACCAAUUCAACUAAUCCUUAGUUGAUGAAUGUUCUAAACUCUAAAUUACCCUUGAAGUCUACCCAAACCAAACUUCCUUUGGUUUGUUUAUGUACUCACACAACUUUGAAAGCAUGUUGUCAAUGAUAACAUUUGUUCAACUUAGAAAUUGUUAAUACUCUAGCCCUUAUUGAUUCAUCGAUAUACCUUGUUCAUGAAGAUAUUAUAAUCAAACCCUUGAAUAGUUAUUGGUUCCUAUUUGAUUCGACCAGUACUUGAUUGAUGAGCAUUCUAAAAAUCUAGACUUCCUUUGAAGUUAAUUCCCAACCAAACUUCCUUUGGUUCGGAACCUGAUAAUCUAAGCUGAGAUGAACAACCCUAUAUCAGGGGAUUAUUUUAGAGCUACGCAAUAGCGUUAAAAUGUUUGCGCAAUACAUAGUACAAAGGGCUGAUCACCUGGAGUACGGAAUGAUGGUCCAUAUAGUCGUUUAGACUGUUAAAGGUUACAGUAGAAACACCUGUGAACCUAGGACAUAGAUGAUGAUUAUAGUCUUUUAGACUGUUAAAGGUUAAAGUAGAAAUACUUGUAAACCUAGAAUAGAGUUCCUGGUCUUGUGACCCUCAGUAUAUUCUUUGAUGUUAUUAUCUAUUGUUAACUUAAACGUUCAUUAUUCCUUUGAACUCAUAGCUGUUGAAUUAAUUUUCUUGUUCCGGUAAGAAUACUUUACCAUUGAAAGCUCAGUUAAUUGUCAUUCAUAAAACGUUAUUAUAUAUUAUCCUUCUUGUGGGUAAUUGUUUGCUCACUCUUGCACAAAACAAUGCAAAUGAAGUUACGAAGUUUGAAAAGCUUUAUACAAGCAAGGGCAAGGACAAAGUGCUUGAUUAGACGAAAACGUUUAAUUUAUAUUUUAUUUAUGAAGCUUAUGUAAUGGAUUUAGUUAUAAUCAUGUUUUAAUUUUCCGCAAAUGAUUGUAAUAAAGGUUAGAUGACCUGGGAUUUAUUUUAGAUGAUGUAACCCUUUAAUGGGAGAUUAAUUGUUUAAACUUUUGAGUUUAAUUAUAUCUUUUGUUUAUGGGUAGUUAGUUAUGAUUUAUUUGGGCAGUGAACACCAAAUCUGUGGGGUUGAAGUGCCCGGAUUUGGGGGUGUCACACCCUCCCCUAGAAUUUUCAACCUUCCCCACCCGUUGAUUUUCAUGCUAACUGCAUUUAUUACUCCUCUUUCUCCAUUCGGCUAUAAAAGGAAGGCUAAGGAAAGGGAUUAUACACACCAAUUCGGAGAAGCAAAACAUCCAAAAAAGGGAGUAGUUUUGUGAAGCUUUAGAAAAUAGAGAGAGAAAGGUGGUUCAAAUAAAUAGGAGUUUUAUUUGGGUUUCAUCACAUAGUUAUUGUGGUGAAGUAAUUUGAGUUUGUACUCAAAUUAAGAUAUCUUUGUAUUCUCUCAUAUUAUUCUAGUGAAGUGUUCGGAGUUUGUCCCGUGGUGUUUACCUCUUAUUUUUAUAGGGUUUUGUGACACCCCCCGAAUCCAGGUCCUCUGACCCCGGUCCGGUCAUCACGAUAAAAUACAAACAUUCACCUCUAAACAACAUACGAUAACUAAAAUGCGGAAAAUAAUAAACGUACGUCGUUCAUUCAAAAGGUGUUACUAGUCCCAAGAUACGAUAACCUUAAUAUCAUCUUAUACACAUACCCUAAAAUAAACAUUAGGGUUCAUAUUACAUAAUAGUAAUUUAAAACUAGGCAUAAGAUAAAGUCUGCUCCUUACCACUAUUCUACAUCUUUCCUUUACCCUUGUCCUUCCCUGAGGUCUCGGGCUUAGCUGUAAUAUAAUUCAUGAUAUAGCAAGGAUGAGCAACAAGUUUGCCCAACAAGUUUAAAUACAACAAUAAGGAUAUAUCAUGAUGAAUAGAAAAAUAACUGACAAUGAAUUCAACAAUAUGAAUAUCGCAAGCAAAGAUAACGAUUUCUUUUAGAAUAACUGCUAGUCAAAUAGACUUUGAACUAUAACACUCCAAUGGAAUCAAUAUCUAAUUGACCCUUUGGUUACUGGCUACAGAAUAAGUACUUGAGGGGAUCAGCCUCACGUAUACUAUGUAUAUGCAUAACAUUUAAAUCUGCUCUAUGUAUCUUAUAUUAGAUACCUGGAAUACUCCCCUAUCAUAGCAGGGGUAUUCUUUCAGUCUAAGAAUCCUUACCAUCAAUUGGUUUGGAUAGCUUUUAUAAAACUUCAUACUCUUGUCUGACCGAACAAAGGCUCAGACUCUAUCUAACACAGUUCAAGAAUUAUUGAACUUUAAAUGAUGUACAAGUCCAAGACUGUACAAACUCAAGUGCACUAAGUGUGAAUAUCAAUAAUAUCGAUGUGAAAUAAUUAUAAGGUAAUUAAACCACUUAAUAGCAUGCUUGGAAAUAAAGUUCAAGCUUAAAUGAAUAACUUUCAAUUCAACAAUAACCUACUCAAAUUUGAUAUGAGAAGGAUAGAAAACUUUCACAAAAACAAAGUUGUGUAAGUUAGGAAACUUACAACACAAAUAUAAUAGUGUUCGAAUACUUGCUCAAGUAAAAGAGUAAGAAUUAAGGAACUUGCACAAUCAAAGAGUGAAGUUCAGAGAAACUUGCUCAAUAAAAGUAGGGUUCAAGGAACUUGCACAAUCAAAGUUUGAGUAAGGUUAGGAAAACUUGCUCAAUAAUAAUUGGAGUAAGUUUAGGGAAACUUGUCUGUUUUCUCAGCUACAAUAUAAUUCUAGCUUUAGUUAAUUUGCGUUGAAAUGACCUAACAUUAACAAGUCGGCCUUUCCAAUUAGUACGCGUAAACUAAUAUGAGUCUACACUUCCAAGAAUCAAGUCAUCAUAUAGCAUGCUUAUAUACAUGUAUCAUUACAUUACACGAUUAGUUUCUAACACACUAUUUCAUAGUUGAAAUCACAAUUGAACUUUAAAGUUGUAAACAUUAAUUCAUAAUAGGAUUCUUUUCAAUAACAUGCUUAUUAACACCUGACUACUAUAUUGGACAUGUAUUACAGAUUAGAGUAAACAUAUAAGCAUGCAUCAGUUCUCAAUUUAAUAACAGAACUCAGAUCUCAAUGCAAGAUUGCAUAGCCGCGCUUGGUUUUUACUAAAGAGUGGCGCGGCCGCGCUGCUCCUGGUGCAAACCAAGACAUGGCUGCUUCAACAGGAAGCCAGGGCACACACAACUUGCACAUAAAUGAACAAUCAUGCACAACACCCAUGUUAUUAUAUAAAUAACUAACUUUAACCUUUCAUCAAACAUAUCAAAGGUCAUUAUUCUUUUUUACUUAAUCAAGACUACACAUGUUAAGCUAUCAAUCAUGUAAGUCACUUUACCUACCAUACAUAAUACUUUCAUAUAUAUACAUGCUAGACAUCAAAACAUACUUACAAGUUCUCAACUUAAUGUAUAUAUAGUUUAUCAAGUUCAUUUUCAAAAAUUUAAGUCUCCAUUAGUAAAAAUUCAUUCAAGCAUGCAAGAUUCGUCUAUAUUGUCUAAUUCAUGCUUUCAUAUGCAUUUGUGCACAUACUCAAGUUAUUUACAUAUGUUCACAAAGUCAGAAUGUAUAUUACUUCAUAUAUACAAUUUCUAGUUUUCAAAUCUUUAAGCCUUUUUAAAAUAACCAAGUCAAAACAAUGUUGGGCUUCGGCACAGAAACGCACAGCGGAAAUUAAAAUUUUAAAGCAAUUUCCGAAACCCUAAAACAGGAUCCAUACGAAAAUCAAUUAAUUCAGAGGUUUAGAGAUUAUACCAGAUAUAAACAAAAACGAGAAUCUGAAACCGACUGCNNNNNNNNNNNNNNNNNNNNNNNNNNNNNNNNNNNNNNNNNNNNNNNNNNNNNNNNNNNNNNNNNNNNNNNNNNNNNNNNNNNNNNNNNNNNNNNNNNNNNNNNNNNNNNNNNNNNNNNNNNNNNNNNNNNNNNNNNNNNNNNNNNNNNNNNNNNNNNNNNNNNNNNNNNNNNNNNNNNNNNNNNNNNNNNNNNNNNNNNNNNNNNNNNNNNNNNNNNNNNNNNNNNNNNNNNNNNNNNNNNNNNNNNNNNNNNNNNNNNNNNNNNNNNNNNNNNNNNNNNNNNNNNNNNNNNNNNNNNNNNNNNNNNNNNNNNNNNNNNNNNNNNNNNNNNNNNNNNNNNNNNNNNNNNNNNNNNNNNNNNNNNNNNNNNNNNNNNNNNNNNNNNNNNNNNNNNNNNNNNNNNNNNNNNNNNNNNNNNNNNNNNNNNNNNNNNNNNNNNNNNNNNNNNNNNNNNNNNNNNNNNNNNNNNNNNNNNNNNNNNNNNNNNNNNNNNNNNNNNNNNNNNNNNNNNNNNNNNNNNNNNNNNNNNNNNNNNNNNNNNNNNNNNNNNNNNNNNNNNNNNNNNNNNNNNNNNNNNNNNNNNNNNNNNNNNNNNNNNNNNNNNNNNNNNNNNNNNNNNNNNNNNNNNNNNNNNNNNNNNNNNNNNNNNNNNNNNNNNNNNNNNNNNNNNNNNNNNNNNNNNNNNNNNNNNNNNNNNNNNNNNNNNNNNNNNNNNNNNNNNNNNNNNNNNNNNNNNNNNNNNNNNNNNNNNNNNNNNNNNNNNNNNNNNNNNAUCUAGAUCACUCAUAUUUCUCACACGAUUAAUGAUGAACCCAAUAAUCACCUUUAUAGUCCACCCUAUUAAAGGUGACAUUUGAUGAUAUCAAAGUACAUAAAUUCUCGUGUAGUAAUAUAGCGAUUUCAGGUCGGAGGACCAUUACAUCAUUGUCACUAUGAGAAUUGCUAAUGACACUUCGCAUAAUGCUCCAUAUAGAAUUCUCAUGGUGGGUCUGUCCAGUACAUCGUUCUCUAACAUGUACCUAUGCAUUGACUUAAUAUCUCAUAUAUUUAUGACCAAUGAGAUUUGGUCAUCAGUCAAUCCACAUACUAGUCUCAAUGCAUCAUUGUUGUCCCAUCAACAAUGAUACUCGACUAGGGACAUUUAAGAACACUGAUACUAAUGGUAAUAUAUAAUCUCAUGUUCAAGUCACAUACUUGAAACUAUAUAAUUUGUAUCACUAUUCUAAGGAAUUUUAUUAUGUUAACAAUUAUAUUACGCAGUAAAUAAAACCAUAAUAAAAUCAUAUAUUUAUUCAAUCAAAUAUAAUAUCAAAACGUUAAGCAAUUAUAUCAAAUAAUUGGCCUCUAGGGCAUAAACUCUAACAAACAACCUAUUAUGGCUUACUACAUACAUAACUACCAUAGUCCACAAGUUCAGGUCAUUUGUAUGCAUAUAAUAAUCAAGGUAACAUGCUCAGAAUAUCUUAAGAAGCUAACAUGAGCAACUAUGAUCUGCUACCCGCGCGACCGCGCGGUGAAAGACUUGGGAAGUGGCGCGGCCGCGCCACUUCGACCAGAAAAAUAUGGCAUCUGCUUCUGUAGAGGCUCAAUUCCAAACAUUGCCAAACAUCUUUAUGCAGCAAUCCAACUACUUCUAAUACUUCUAAGCAUGCAUACUAACUUAAACAACACAGAGACAUGCUAAUUCAUAACAAUAACAGAGAAUUCUUGAGAAUUGUAAGAAUUUGACAAAAACCCAACUAAGAACAAAAGCUUAGGAUUUUAUACCUCUUGGAGCUAAAUGAACUUAGUUUCUUCCUCUGAGCUUGCAACCUCUUCUUUGGACAACACACACUCAAUUUCAAUUUCUUAGAGUUUAAACAAACAAUUUCAAGUAACGUAAAAACUAAAAAUGGAGCUGCCAUUUAUAGAAGGAGCUUGAACUGGGCACUCAUUUUACACUGAGGUUUGAAUCAAAGGAAAAAGAAAGAAAACAUUGGACAAUGAAAGGUUGUCCAACUGCCCACCCCCAUAGCCAAUGGCCUAACACUCACUAGCCACUGAUAAUUACGUAAACUAGCUCCAUGUUACUGUUCAUGUACUGAUAUUUGACUCUCAUUUUGGGACAAGCUCAGCAACAAGCUUGGUUUGGUUACUAUAAUUCCCAACAUGUAAUUUUAAUGUGUUAAUGCUACUGCACAAAGGAAAUUUGGGGAUUAUUUAUGUACUCACAUUAUAUAACCCAUGUACAUUUUCUAUUACCAUGACUGUUAUUAUCAUAAUAACUUAAUGAAAUCAUUAUUAAUUUAACAAUUGAUAUGAUUAUAUGUCAAUAGGGUAUACCUGAAUGUUUACCCACACACUUCACAUCAUAUAACAAUAUUAUUAUGCAACUCACAUGAAUGCAAAUAACUCUUACUAUAUAGUCUAUAUAUAUAAUAUAUAGACAUAUUAAAUGUGCCACCUUGUACUAUAUAAAAUAUAUAGUUAAUUACCAUAUAAUACAUGUUUAGUACAUUGCAUGUUUGCACAAAUUAAUCAAGUAAAUAUAAAAUCACUUUAUAAAUUAUUAAUCUCUUACUCAUUAAUUAUUAUUUAUUCAUAAUAAUUAUUAAUUAACACAUUAUCAAUUAAUUACUCAUAAUUGCAAUUAGUCAAUAUGUUCAACUCUUGCCACCAUAUUCAAAUAAAUUGAAUAUUUAAUUAUUAAUAAUCCUAUCAAUUCCUUGAUAUUAAAGCCUUAGGGUUUGUCCACUAAUUUAAAUAAACUAUUAGUGACUCCCUUUAAUCAUUUCAUAAAUUCACAUAACCACAUAAGGUUUAAAUAAACUCACAAAAAUAACUCAUUAAAAUUAAAUCACAUAUUUAAUUAAUAAAGGAGUUUAAAAUUUGUGCACGUUACAGGUUUUUCACGUAAAAUCUUGGUGUCUCGUGUUUGAAUAUUUUUCCUACUUAUUAUUUCCUGCAUGGUUAUUAUUUUGGUGGAACUGUAAAUUUAAUCUGUUUGGCAUGUGCUGAUAUUUUAUCCAUCUAAUUUAUCAAAGGCAACAAUAUUUGGGAGGUGAUUUUUUCCCAACAACUAGUAUCAAAGCUAAGGUUAUUUGCUCGGUUGUUUUUGAUAAAUUUUAUGGAGGAAUCAGUCGGAGCCAUGAUUAAAUUGACCUCUUCAAAUUUUUCGAUCUGGAAGCCCAGAAUGGAGGAUAUCCUUUAUUGCAAGGAUCUGUAUGAUCCGUUGGAGCUCAAGGGACACGAGCCCGCGGAUAAGUCUGAGGCUGAUUGGAACAAAAUGAAUAGGAAGACUAUUGGUCACAUCCGGCAGUGGAUUGAUCAAAGUGUGUUCCACCAUAUUUCGCAUGAGACGGAUGCUCACACUUUAUGGCCAACACUAGAGUCUAUGUACGAGAAGAAGAAUGCACAAAAUAAAACUUUUGUUAUUUAAAAAAUUGUGAAUCUAAAGUACAAGGACGGGAGCAUAGUGUCGGAGCAUAUGAGUGAGUUCCAAGGUUUGGUGAACCAGCUGUCCACCAUGAAGUUGAAUCUUGAUGAUGAGAUUCAGGCUCUUUUGCUUCUCAGUUCAUUGCCAAACAGCUGGGAGACUUUGGUGGUGUCUUUAAGAAAUUCAGCUCCAGAAGGAAAAAUGACUAUGCAGAUGGUUAAUGACAGUCUUCAUAAUGAGGAGACCAGGCGAAAUGAGCAAGGCAUAAAUUUUGAGACACAUGCUCUUGUCAUAGAGAACAGGGGCAGGAGAAAUUUUAGGGGAUCUCACAAAGGAGAUACAAGUCGCAGCAAAAGCAAAAAUCAUAGGAGCAAGUCAAAGACCAGACAAGGUGAAACGUAUCGAUGCUUUCAUUGUAAUAAGGAAGAUCAUUACAAGAGAAAUUGCAUAACAUGGUUAGACAAGCAGAAAAAUGGUGAGCAGGGAAAGGUUAAGGAGAAGAACACUGCAGCCACAGUCACUGAAGAUGUUGUUAUUUUUCAUUUGGGGAAGAAAAAUGCUUGCAUGUUGAUGAUCAGAAAGUUGAUUGGGUGGUUGAUAUUGGUGCCUCGUAUCAUGCUACACCUAAGAGAGAAUUUUUCACAACUUACAAAGCUGGAGACUUUGGGUACGUGAGAAUGGGAAAUACUGAUCAGUCCAAGAUUAUUGGAAUUGGUGAUGUUUGCAUUCAGACAGGCGUUUGUUGCACUGUUACCUUGAGGGAUGUUAGGCACGUUCCUGAUUUAUGUCUCAACUUAAUUUUUGGCAUGGCCUUGGACAGAGAAGGCUAUGAGAAUCACUUUGGCAGUGGAAAGUGGAAGCUUACCAAGGGCUCUAUGGUGAUUACAAGAGGCGUUGCUUGUUGUUCGUUGUACAAGACUCAUGAGAAAGUGCGUUCUAGUGAAUUGAAUGCAGUUGAGGAUGACUCUUCACCAAACUUAUGGCAAAAGAGGCUUGGCCACAUAAGUGAGAAAGGGUUACAAUUACUAGCAAAAAGGUCACUCAUUCCUUUUGCUAAAGGUACUGUUUUAAGCCCUUGUGAUUAUUGUUUGUUUGGGAAACAACAUAGAGUUUCUUUUAGUAGUUCAACUAAAAGAAAAUCAGAGCUACUAGAGAGAGUAUAUUCUGAUGUAUGUGGACCCAUUGAGGUUGAGUCUUUGGGUGGAAAUAGGUACUUUAUUACCUUUAUUGAUAAUGUUUCGCGGAAGGUGUUGGUAUUUUUGUUGAGAACAAAAGACUAGGUAUUCCAGCAUUUUCAGAGUUUUUAUGCUAUGGUUGAAAGGGAGACUAAAAAAUCAUUGAAGUGUCUUCGUAGUGACAACAGAGGGGAAUACACUUCAAAGGAGUUUGCUGAAUACUGUAGUAAAUAUGGCAUUCGACAUGAGCAGAUUGUUCCUGGUACCCCCACAGCAUAAUGGUGUGGAUGAGAAAAUGAACUGCACUAUUAUUGAGAGAGUGCGAUGCAUGUUGAGAAUGGCUAAACUACCUAAGUCAUUCUGGGGUGAAGUUGUUCGUACUGCUUGUUACCUGAUUAAUAGAUCUCCAUCAGCACCGUUGGAUUUUCAGAUUCCAGAAAAGAUUUGGAGUGGUAAGGAUUUUUCUUAUUCUUAUUUGAGGGUAUUUGGGUGCAAGGAUUUUGCAUAUAUCCCCAAGGAACAAAGAUCGAAACUUGAUGACAAGUCUACUCCAUGUGUAUUUUUUGGCUAUGGAGAUGCAGAGUUUGGAUACCGGUUAUGGGAUCCAGUGCAGAAAAAAUUAUUCAGGAGCAGAGAUGUGGUGUUUCAUGAGCACCAAAAUUAUGAGCAUUUUGAUAAUGCUACACAACCCAGAGAUAAUAAAGUUCCAGAUCUCAGCGAAGUUCCUUCUCCAGUACAGAAUGCCACAGUUGGAGAAGGAGGUCAGAAUGAAGAUAUGACUAAUAUAGAUUUGCACGAUGGUGAUGGGUCAGAUGUAGAGAGUGUUGAUCAGGGGGAGCAACCUGAUAUUGAAGAACCUCAGUUAAGAAGAUCCACUAGAGAACGUGUGCCAUCAAUCAGAUAUCCUUCAUUUGUAUAUCUUUUAGUUACUGAGGAGGGGGAGCCAGAGGAUUUUCAAGAAGUCAAGACUCAUAAAGAGAAAAGCAAUUGGCUUAGAGCUAUGCAGGAUGAGAUGGAUUCUUUGCACAAGAAUCGCACCUAUGAGUUGACUACACUUUCAAAGGGCAGAAAAGCAUUGAAGAACAAAUGGGUGUUUAAGCUUAAGAAGGAUGGUGAAAAACUAGUGAAGUACAAGGCUCGAGUAGUCGUCAAGGGUUUUGCUCAAAAGCAAGGUAUUGACUUCGAUGAGAUUUUUUCUCCAGUUGUGAAGAUGACUUCUAUUCGAGUAGUGUUGGGGUUAGUAGCUAGUAUGGAUCUUGAGCUUGAGCAGUUGGAUGUGAAGACUGCUUUUCUUCAUGGUGAUUUGAAGGAAGAAAUCUACAUGGAACAUCUAGAGGGAUUUGAAGUUAAAGGGAAAGAACACUUGGUUUGCAAGUUGAAGAAAAGUUUGUACUGCCUGAAACAAGCCCCAAGGCAGUGGUACAUGAAAUUUGAUUCAUUUAUGGUGGAUCAAGGUUACAGUAAAACAGUUGCAGAUCAUUGUGUGUAUGUUAAAAGGUUUCCGAAUGGUAACUUUGUUACUCUGUUGCUAUAUGUAGAUGAUAUGUUGAUAGUUGGACAGGAUGCCGAUAUGAUUCGCAAGCUCAAGGGUGAGUUAUUUAAGUCCUUCCAGCUAAACAGAUUUUGGGUAUGAAGAUUGUUCGUGACAGGAAAGCCAAGAGGUUGUGGUUGUCACAAGAGAAGUAUGUUGAGCUGAUGCUUGCAAGGUUCAACAUGGGUGAUGCUAAACCAGUUAGCACACCACUGGCUAGUCCUACUAAGUUGACAAAGUACAUGUGUCCUUCUACCAAGGAAGGGAGAGAUGAUAUGGCAGCAGUUCCCUACUCCUCUGUUGUAGGGAGUCUUAUGUAUGCAAUGGUUUGUACGCGGCCAAAUAUUGCUCAUGCAGUUGGCGUUGUGAGCAGGUAUUUGUCAAAUCUUGGUAGAGAACAUUGGGAAGCAGUUAAGUGGAUUCUCAGAUACUUGAAAGCUACUUCUAGUUUAUGUUUGGGUUUUGGGAGUACGAGUCCAAUCUUGGAGGGUUUUACAGAUGCAGACAUGGAAGGUUCUGAAGAGAAGAAGUCUACUUCGGGAUAUUUAUUUACUUUUGCAGGGGGAUCAGUAUCAUAGCAGUCCAAGUUGCAAAAGUGUGUUGCUUUGUCUAAAACUGAGUCAGAAUACAUCGCUGCUAUUGAAGCAGGCAAAGAGAUGUUGUGGUUAAAACGGUUUCUCCAAGAGUUGGGUUUAAAACAAGAUGAGUAUGUGGUUUAUUGUGAUACUCAGAGUGCAUUUGACUUGACCAAGAAUGCCACGUAUCAUAAUCGGACCAAGCAUAUUGAUGUUCGUUAUCACUUGCUUCGAGAAGUGAUGGAAAAGGAAUUGAUGAAAGUGAAGAAAGUUCAUACCGACAAGAACCCCUCAGACAUGUUGACAAAAGUUGUCACUCGCGACAAGCAGGAAUUUUGCAAGGAAUUGGCCGGGAUGGACUCCAAGUGACGGGGUCACAAAAUUACCUCCUCUAAUGGUUUCGGAGGGGGAGAUUGUUAGUCAAGUCCUCACCCACUCCCGCCCCUUGAAUUUUCAACCUUCCCCGCCCGUUGAUUUUCAUGCCAACUGCAUUUUUUACUCCUCCUUCUCCAUUCGGAUAUAAAAGGAAGGCUAAGGAAAGGGAUUAUACACACCAAUUCGGAGAAGCAAAACAUCCGAAAAAGAGAGUAGUUUUGUGAAGCUUUAGAAAAUAGAGAGAGAAAGGUAGUUCAAAUAAAUAGGAGUUUUAUUUGGGUUCCAUCACAUAGUUAUUGUGGUGAAGUAAUUUGAGUUUGUACUCAAAUUAAGAUAUCUUUGUAUUCUCUCAUAUUAUUCUAGUGAAGUGUUUGGAGUUUGUCCCGUGGUUUUUACAUCUUAAUUUUAAAGGGUUUUUCACGUAAAAUCUUGGUGUCUCGUGGUUGAAUAUUUUUCAUACUUAUUAUUUCUGGUUAUUAUUUUGGUGUAACUGCAAAUUUAAUUUGUUUGGCAUGUACUGAUAUUUUAUCCAUCUAAUUUAUCAAAGACAACAAUAUUUGGGAGGUGAUUUUUUCCCAAAAGUUUUAACCACGGACAGAGUUAGUAUAGGGCCCAAGCUACCCUGAAAAUUUUGAAUUUCUUUUAAGCUUAUAAAAUUUUAAUUUUUUUUUUAUUCAAGCCCCCCAAGAUCUACAAAAAUAAAUAAAUUAUAUAUAAUAAUUCUUUUUGAAAAAUUACAAGAAAGUACUCCAUUCCAAAUAUAAGAGUCAUUUUUAUUAUUUUACAGUCUAUUUAAAACGUGGGCUAAUCCAUAAAUAUAUCAUUAUUCCCAUUUUCUAAGUAUCAUUAUAUGAAUAUCAAGUUUUGGGGUCUCUUUUUGCUCCACUUUGUGUACUAUAAUAUAAAGGUCCAUAUAUACUCUGCAAAACAAAGAAAUCAUAUUUCAGUCAGAAAGUCUAUAAAAUUGUCCAAUAAACCCCAGACCCCCACUAAAUUACACAUGACCUUAUAGUAUUAUAUCCCAGCCCCGAAAAUACUUUAUGGUUUCUUCCCUUGUUUCAAAUGUGAAGAAGUAAAACAAGGCGGCAUUCAUGAUACCCCAAUGUAAUCACCAUGUAGCUGUUCUAUCAUCUGAUGUAACAUCAAAAGGAACCCAUUGGUAUAUAUGCAUAUUCUAUCAAAUGUAAACACAUCAACGGGUUGCUUAAAAUAUACUAGUAGCCUUUUUAUGAUUUUCCACUUUUCUUGAUUGAGAGUUUUAAAAGAAAGACAAAAAUCAAGUAUCUAUAUAUAUUUGCUAAUUAAGGUGAAAUUUAACAUUCCUGCCUUUAACAAAGAUGGAUCCCAAGACCUCCUUGUGCUCAAGAAGUGGGCUUAACAACUGUACCAAAGGAGACUUGGUCUACUCUAUGUAUCCUUUAUCCCUAUGAAUACCAAAAAAAAUAGAACGCCAAUCAGAAGGAAUCCUUGAUUGGUUCUUCCAGAGGAAUGAUCCUAUUUUUUUAUUUGACUGAUGAGGCCAAGAAGGAUUUCUCAUCCUCCUCAUAUCAUUUUGUACUUUAUCUCCUUAUUCUAAAUAAAUCUUCUUUCCUAUUGUAAAAAUAAAAAGAAAAACACAUGCCAUUGUCCAAAAUGAACAAAAACUAUGUCAACUGACCUGGUUUGUGCUUAUGAGGUACAAAUGGAAGCAAGUCAUACCCCCAACGAACCAUAGAAAAAGGAAACAAUACGCCAUUAGUAUCACUGAUGCAGGAGAUUGUUUCAUUGCCUUCCAAACUGUGCCAUAAUCUUCCACGAGAAAAGUCAUGUACAAAGCCGACAUUGAAAACACAAAGAUGCAGAGAAGCGCUGAAGAAGAAACAAAUAAGAAGAAGCACCGGUAGUUGCGCUGCACAUAAAAUAUGUAAUUAGCUCUUUAAUGACACUAACAGAAAAGCAGCAAGAUCCUUUCCUCCCUUCCCAGAAUAAAAUAACACUAAUCUCUUUCUUUGACAAGCACCAUAUGUGCUUUUUUAUUUACACAUAUACUCGAUUCAAGUCAACAUUGCCGGUCACAACUUGGCAACUUCUUCUCUUCACCUUUCUGCUAUUUUAUAUACUGAGCUGCUACUUAUCCAAUAACUACGUUAGUCAAACAUUCUUCGUCAAAUUAGCACAAUAAAAACUCUCAUCUUUGAGAAAUCAAACUACAGAGGUAUAUAGAAGUUCUCUCAUCUCAUGAAACAGAUCCCCCAAGGAUAAAAAUGACAAAAGUUGAGGUACUGGUCGAUGUAACUAAGACAUCAUAAUUUUAAUCAGAAAUUUCCAAGCAAUAUUGAUUGGCCAAAUCUGAACUUUUCCCGAGUUAAUAACUUGCUCGAUCGAAUACUACAGUGGUCAAAUUUCAGAAGUAAACUUGUACCGGUUCAAAUUCAGAUAUUCUUUAUCAUUUAAUUAACAUAGUGAACAAAAUGCAAUGUUAUAACAAAGUGACAUGAACAAUCCAGGAGCAUUAAGAAAGAAAAUCCCUAGGAGAGGGGAGGGCUGAUUAUGAAAUGAAAGAAGUAGAGAAAAAGGAAAUGAACAAACUAAAUUCAAACCUUUUCGAUGCAUUGACCCACCCAGGGGCAAUGGUGAUCGAAUCGCUCCACACAAUUAUCACAUAAAGCACAAUGAGAGCAUCGUGGAGGACGAAACACCAUGCAUGUUUCACAAUAUUUAACCCUCACAGGUACACCAUUAACAAAGACUUCUUUUGUACGGGGGAAUUUUGUUGGUGUCGAUGCGAAUGAUCUGCCAGUUUCAAUAGAAGGCGGGGAUUCAUAACCAAGCUCUUCAUCUGGCAUUAGAGUUGCGCGGGGUACAAUGCCAGGGUCCUGAGCUGCAGUUACAAGUAGAAGCACCAAUACCUAUCACAACCAAUAUGGUAUUAAUAUUGACCAAUGACUUGUAACAAGAAAACUACCAAAGAAAGGAAAAAAGUGUGCAGGCCUAAAGUUGAACUAUAAUACAAAAUGAAACUAGUGAAACUCAAAAUCACACCAAAAUAACGUUGAUAACCAUUGUAACAACCGAGAAAUUCGGAUUUAUUGUAAAAUAAUUUUAUUAAUUAAAUAAUGAAUAAAAUUAUAUUAUAUGUUAUUAUUAUGUGUUAGUAAGAUGAAGGUUGUUCUAUAACCUAGAUAUGUCGGAAUGUCGUAGUAUUUUGACUACGUGGUAGAAUUAAAGUGUUUGAAUUUUCAAGACGAAAAUAAAAGUUUUCCGAGAAAUUUUCCGAAAAACACUAUUCACUGAUUUCUGCUCAGUAAUUAUUUUUGAACUUCCGAGAAAUACGUAACGAUAGAAUAUCAAAGUAGGAUGGAUUAUGUAAUAAUAGAUCACGUAUGGCAAACGCAGUUUUUCGCUUGCGGACUAAAUUUGAGAACGUUAGGGAAAGUAAAACGUUAAUGAGUUAAACAUUGAUCGUAUGAUACGUAAGUAUUGUACAAGGUAAUGAAUACGAGUUAUUAUACGAGUAUGUAUGAAUGAUGGUAUGUCGUAUAUGAUGAAUAAGUAUACGAGUUAAUUAGUAUACGAGAAUAAUACGUAGAUUAUACGUUAUAAGGUAUUAAGCAAGUGUAUUGGACUUGUAGGAUUGUGUAGAAGUUGUACAAGCCCAAGUGAAUUAAGGUAAAUCCCAAUGUUUGUUAAUGCAAGCCCAAAGAAUAAGUUAAAGUUAGUUAAAUCUAAAGCCCAAAGUAAGAACCGGAUCCGUGGAUCGAUCCAAUGGGUAAGAAUGACCCAUGGGGCAACCCAUGUGGGCCCCAUGAUCAUAUGGCAUGAUCUUGGCGACCAAGCAAAGGAUAAGUUGUGUGAUGGCCAAGGGAUGAAUAGUAAGGAGGUGGUUUAAGGAGGUGGGAUGACCUCUUGAGCAUUAUACCCUCAACUAGGAUUUUCUAUAAAUAAGAGAGUGGCUAGUUUAUUAUUCACUUGUUAAAUUUUUCACCAACAACUUAUAACUUAUUUAGUAGAGAGAAAAAGUAAGAAAACGCUAGAUUUUGUUAAUCCAAGAAGCAAGAAGCAAGAAGGAAGAACAAUGAUUAACCAAGAGAUCAUCAAGGGUAAGAAUCCUAGACCAUUAAUCUUCCAUCUCUUCAAUAAUAGUUUGAUAGAGAAGUGUUGAUUAGUGGAGCAUGUAUGAUAAGAAGUGAUAAGUAUGGCUAAUCAAUGGACUUAAACCUUAAUAAGCCAUGAACAAGUAAUUCAUACUUAUUUAAGUUAUGAACUAAUGAAGAACAUUUAAGAAUUUGUCAUGUGUAUACAUUAAUGAAAUAUGUUUGGUUAGGAUGUUAGUAUGAUGGAAUGAAUCCAUUUGAAACGAUGUAAAAAUCUCAAGUAAUGAAGUUAUGACGGAAUUUACGAGAUUAGACGAUAAUCGUCGAAAUCGUGAAAUUCUCGGAAUGGAAGUCAAAUUUUGACAUUGAACUCAGAAAUGUUGGAUUUCGACGGAAAAUAGUCCAAGUUUGCAUUUUAGAGUUGCGGACUCAAAAAUGGUCAAAUUCUGACUUAGAACGAAGAAACGAGCUAUGAACGUUCACGAACGUUUAUCGUUUUCGUUAAAAUGGACCUAAACAGUGAAUUCCGUAUUAACGGAUUCGAAAAUAUAAAUUUUUUAUAUGAACACUUAGAGCAUGUGAUUUGUGGGCUAAUGGCUUUUGAACGAGCCAAUUCAGACUUAAAAUGAACAAUUUAGGAGUCUGGAAAGUUCGCAAAGUAAGAAAUCUAUCAAAACUAUCUGGUGCACAGAGUUGGCGCCGCAGCGCCAGCCUAGGCAUAAUAAGUGGCGCUGCAGUGCCAAGCAUGCCAAUUAGCCACUGAAGAGUGGCGCCGCAGUGUGGCACAAAGAGGAAAAUUUUGCGCCGCAGCGCCGAGCCAAGCCAAUCACCUACUGGAAACUCACGCCGCAGCGCGACUGGUAACGAAGGAGAUGGCACCGCAGCACCAUGUCCGAGUCUUAGACACUAGAGAAUCACGCCGCAGCACGAGUCCAAGAAGGGAAGUUGGUGCCGUAGCGCCAGCACUAGACAAAGCAUAGUAAAGAAGGCUUAUAAAGAUAGAAAGGAAAUUGGUUGAUUCGUAAUGAACUAACACAUUAAGAAACCUAAAGUAACAUCCUUAAAUGAUGUUAAAAACCUUAAGUAAUACAACUAAAGGUAGAAGAUAAGUUACUCGAAUGUGAAUGUAAAACAUAACGACAAACCAGAACCAAUGUUAAACAAUCUAAGGCAUGAUUAGAUUGAGAAGAAGGGUAAGAUAUAGUAGUAAUCAUACUUGAUUAUAUAUGACCUAAUGUGGUAUGUUAUGUGAUCAUGUAUUGUAGAGACUUUAAAGACUCAAAAGGAAAAGUACUUAAACAAUAGCAGACACUAAAGGCAAGUGUUCUAACCAUUGUCUAUGUUCAUUGUGGACAAGCUUUGUGAUUCAUGUAUCUUAUGCAUGAAUUGAUGUAUGAUGAAGUCGAAGCCAAUUCUUUCGGCUAGACUUAAGAUGUUUUUGGAUUUCUUAUAAUCUAUCGAACUGUUAUCAAGUUUUGCCAAACUAUUUUGGUAUGGUUUUCAAAAGAAGACUGAGUAUGCAUGCUAAACAAAUGUUUUGUCGUCAAACUACAGGCACGUGAGGUUGCCAAAACUUAUACGUACAUACGUUUAAAGAAAGUAGUGUUGUACAACAUAGACUACUAUAGGCUGAUCACCUAGACGUGCUCGUAAGAUAUGUCAGACUUACGGACAUGGUGUCGGGUUGUCUUUUUCAAAGAAAGUAUGAAAUGCUCAAGGUCUUGGACCGGAAUUAAUGUUUUACUGAAUGUUGUUCAUUGUGAAACGUUUUAAGAAAAGAGAAGUGCUAUUUUGAAUUAUCGAUAGUACUUCAUAACUAUUAUUCAGUUAUUGAAAAUAUACAAUUUGUAUGUUUCAAGCAUAUUGUUUAAAUGGAAUUGUCAUACUUGUUGAGCUAGUUAUGCUCACUCUUGCUUGAACCAUAUGAAUGCAGCUAAGACCGAACAAAUCGAAGGAUCUGGUAAAGAUAAAGGGAAGGCUAAGGCAAACCUAUAGAUUACCUUUGUAAUAGUAUAGGUUGAAUGUUGUUAUUAUUUGAUAUUAUGACAAGAACACAUGUAAUGGUUAUAAAGAACCUGGGAAAUGGUAAUAUUGUUUGGAAUAUAUAUAAGACAUAUUCGUUCUUUUGAGGCUUUUCAAUGGAAUGUAUAUGUGAGCUGUAGCACCGUGUCGCACCAUAUAUCGGGUUGGAAGAUACCCAGAUUUGGGGGCGUCACAGGUUCGUAUCAAAGCAGUAGGUUAUAAAACUUAUGGGGGAAAAUAGAACCUUAAGUCAUAACCUUAAGAAAAGUCAAAGAAGUAAAAAAUGAAAUUAACCCUAAAAAUGCAAUAUAUAUGAUAUGUGUUUUUAUUAUUCUACUGACGUGUACUAAUCAAACUAAAUUAUUUUGUUGUAGAUGUCAGGAGAAAAUGAAAUGUAUAGGGAUAUACAUGUAGUAAGUGAGGAGUUGGUGAAUCAAAUAGAGAUCCUACCGAACCCUAUAGCAGAAGAGCCUGAAGUGGUGAUAGUUGAGUUUGGAGACUCGGAAAACCUAGACCUUAUGUUUGUGUUCGAUGGCAUGUCUGAAGAAGAGGUGGAGGUGGUGUCAUUUAACACCAUAGCACCUGAAGAAGAGAUGACUCUGGGGGAGUCAAUGAAAGCACUGUUUAUGACAGUAUUGGAUAGAAACAUCUAGUAUUAUAAGGAGGUAAAGGAGCUGAAGGAGGAGCUCCAUGUUGUUUUAGAGGAUAAGACAAGUAUGGAGUCGAUGUGGGAAGAGGAACAUGAUGAGAAGGUUUUGGUGAAGGACAAGGUCCAUGAGCUGAAACACGAUGUCUUUGAGCUCAGGUAGGAGCUAAAGACCAAGAAGCAGAAGAUUGGGAGGAUGUCCUAUAUACAUAGGAGUUCUCAAGCGGAUUUUCAGCAGCAAGUAGCUGGGUAUCCGAUAGAAGCAGGGAAGACUCGGCAUACUAUCAGCCGAGAUAUUAUAGCCGGUCUUGCCAACAUGGAUUUUGAGAAUGCCAUACGGCAAAUGUAACCUAGUAUUAACUAGAGUAGAGUUAGAUAUGUAAAUAUGAUGUAUCUAGUUGUGACGUAAAACUCUCUUUUGUAUAUCAAAGGUUAGUCUUUUGUAAAUCCCAAUUUUUAGAAAGCAAUUGCGGGAUAGUAAUGUAAUCAGCUAAGGCUGUGUAAUGACGAAUGAUGUAGUAUUAUACUACAAGAAGCAAAUCAAUAUAAGUCUUGUUAUGGAACAUAUUGUGUAAUGAAUUGAAGUUAUUGUUUAAAUCAUGAAUAAUAACUAACUAACAAGAAGAAAGUAAUAAUGAUGUGUUGUUUAAUUUAACAGCAAAAUGCCGCCAAGACAAAGAAAUCAAGAUACUAAUGUUAAUCAACCGGAAGGACGUCCGGUUAACCCGAUGCAAGAGUUUGUUAACGGCCGCUUUUAAUAGAAAUGGGGCUAAUAUACCCGUAAAACCUGCAAUGGUAUGAGCUACUACUUUUAAGGAUUUUAAGAAUGUCGGUACGCCGGAGUUCAAAGGAACUACGGAUCCCAUAGAAGCCCAGACGUGGGUAAAAGAAAUAGAAAAAACAUUUGUUAUUGCAAAUGUCAACGAGGGGCAAAAGGUUGCUUUUUCUACCUACAGGAUGAAGGGAGAGGCCAACUUUUGGUGGGAGGAAAACCAGGCUGGUAUAGAAAACCUUACAUGGGUGUGGUUCAAGGAGAUUUUCUUCGAGAACUACUUUCCCAUGAGUAUACAGGGGAGGAUGGAGAUGCGGUUUCUAAAGUUGAAACAAGGGGAGAUGAUUGUUCCCCAAUACGCUGCCAAGUUCAAUGAACUGGCGAGAUUUGCUCCACACCAAGUGGAUACGGAGGUUAGGAAGGCUAGAAGGUUCAAGCAGGGCUUGAAACCCUGGCUCUAUAACCGGAUAUCAGUGUUCCAAAGUACUUCUUUUGGGACCAUACUAGAAAAGGCAAUAAUUAUUGAAGGUGGGAAUGAGGCUUUAAGCCAGUACGUUAUAAACGACAGGCACGUGAGGUUGCCAAAACUUAAACGUACAUACGUUUAAAGAAAGUAGUAUUGUACAACAUAGAGUACUAUAGGUUGAUCACCUAGACGUGCUCGUAAGAUAUGUCGGACUAACGAAUUUGGUGUCAGGUUUUCCUUUUCAAAGAAAGUAUGAAAUGCUCAAGGUCUUGGACCGGAAUUAAUGUUUUACUGAAUGUUGUUCAUUGUGAAACGUUUUAAGAAAAGAGAAGUGCUAUUUUGAAUUAUCGAUAGUACUUCAUAACUAUUGUUCACUUAUUGAAGAUAUACAAUUUGUAUGUUUUAAGCAUAUUGUUUAAAUGAAAUUGUUAUACUUGUUGAGCUAGUUAUGCUCACUCUUACUUGAACCAUAUAAAUGCUGCUAAGACCGAACGGACCGAAGGAUCCGGUAAAGAUAAAGGGAAGGCUAUGGCGAAUCUAUAGAUUACCUUUGUAAUAGUAUAGGUUGAAUGUUGUUAUUAUUUGAUAUUAUGACAAGAACACAUAUAAUGGUUAUAAAGAACCUGAGGAAUGGUAAUAUUGUUUGGAAUAUAUAUAAGACAUUCGUUCUUUUAAGACUUUUCAAUGGAAUAUAUGUGUGAACUGUAGCACCGUGUAACACCAUAUGUCGAGUUGAAAGAUACCCGGAUUUAGGGGCGUCACACCCAUAGCACUAACCACGGGCUACCUAUGCAAAACAGAAUCAGGAAUUUUUUUCUUUCAACUGAACAAUAUAUAUAUAUAUAUAAAGUAAGUGGUAAAGGUUCAAUAGAACAUCACAAAGCACUAAAAAGGGGAUAGAGAGAACUAACAUAGAUUGUGAAGAGCACUGCUACAACCAAAAUUACAUAUCCUGCAUUAUAUGCUCGAAAUCUAUGGAUGAGGUUCCUCGCAACAAGAGUGCAAAAGAUGACAGAAGGAACAAGGAUAAGCAAUACAGUAACUCUUAGUGCCUUAAUAUCCGAUCCAAACAUCAAUCUUCCAUUGAAGAGGAAUACCUAACAGUAAAAACAUGAAAAGAAAUUAAGUUUCAUCAAAUAAUUGUUUUCUUUUCUUUUUAUUAAUGAUUCAGCAGAUAACCAUGGGAGGAGGAAAAAAGAGAGGUGUUGGGUCAUAAUAUUUCUCCUAUCUUGGGCCGGAUAGAUUGGGCCCAUUUAUUAGUAUAAUCUAUUGGGCUUUUAUUAUUAAGCCAUGGGACUCUUUGAGCCCAUUUAUUGUGUCAACUUUAUUUAAUUCUAUUGGACCGGGUCAGACCAGUGGAUCGACCCAUUAGAUAUUUUAAUAUCUGUUACUUUGACUUGUGAUGAUGAAAAAGCAUGACAGUUGACCAAUCCUCCUGCCAUGCAUUAAUGUGGAUGGGAUCAUAACCGGCCGGCGGGAGAAAACAGUGGCCAAAAGCAGUAGAUAAACCUGAUAUAGUCGGCAGGGUCCAUCAGAUCAGAGGGGGUGUCAGGUAGUAGUGGGUGGCACAAUAAUCCAAGCAAAAGUAAUAUAACUUAGCAAGGAAGCCAUCGUAUAGAGGUAUGUUCUCUCAUAUAUUGAUUACUCAUAUUCUCCCAUACACACGACUGAGAUUUUAAUUCUCUCAAUACACUAGACCAUAUAUUCCUCCAUUGUUAACCUUGUGAACACGUACUAAUUCUCACGCCUGAGCUAUCCCCCGACGGAACCGCCGUCAAGCUUUCGGUGUUGACUGUGUUUACUGUGCAGGAUCAGGACGUCUUACGUGAUUGGGACGUGGAGAAAGAUCUUGGCGUUAACAUUGGCGCUAGAAGGGGGGGUUUUUGAGUUCUAGUGUCAUAAAAAUUUUCAAUCACAAUCGUUUAACCUACUUCAGAAGAUGAUGAGGAGUAGGGAUGGUACACCAGAAGGGCAGGCGAUGGCUGUUAGCUCGUCACUGCCUCGUGUUUCGGUGAAGGAUCGUCUGGGUCCUUCCAAGAGUGCUCACGAGAGCACGGCUUCUAAGCAUAAUUCAGGGGAUCUCCGUCCGAAGAUUCCGGGCGGGGCUAGACGAAGAUUGGUUUUCGAUGCGAAUGAGGAGCGAGAUCAUGGUCGAGGACAGGUGGAAGGCUCGCCAACCAAGAUUCAUCAUAGAAGUAGCCAAGGAGAUAGAGCUGCCAAGUUGGCGAAGAUGGCGGACGAAGCAGACAGAGCCAUGGCGGUCCUAUUAAAGCAAAGAGAAGAUAUAGCCGAACAGAUGCUUCGGGUGGCGGAAUUACAAGACGAAGCAUCCAGCCAUGAUCAAUACGAAAGACGCAGUGGGCAUAAGGAGGAGACUCGACGAAAGGGUAAGGAGCCGAAGAGGUCCCCGCGGGUUUCUAGGGAUCAUUCUCGAAGUAGGAGAAGAUCGAGAAGCAGAACUCCCAUGGCCUCGAAGAAGGCGAUAAUGGCCGUUACUUCUCAGCAUCGAGAUGAUUAUCAACAAAGGAGCAGGUCGAAGGAGGUCAUACCCGAAGUCCGGGUAAUGGACUAUCAACGUGAUCAUUCUCACCACAAGGAAAGAGUUGUGUACCGAAGCAGAUCAAGAAGUCCCUCUAGGGCAGUAGGAUCGGCAGGAGGGGGUCGAUCCUCUCAGAGACAUAAUAUUGUUCAUGAGAAAGAGGCUUCUCCGCAGCCUGAAGGCGUUGAUUUUCUAGUAAAGGAGCUUAAAGAGCUUAGAAAACAACUGGCUGAGGUCCAGCAGGUGAAGGACGCUCCGGGAAAGAAAGCAUCCCCUUUUUCCUCAGCUAUUCUCAAGGAAAAGGCGGAUAUCACUAAAAAAAUGCCUCGCAUGGAAAGUUACGAUGGAACCGGAGACCCUUAUGACCAUAGCCAGGCGUUCGACCGACUAAUGGACUAUUACGACUUCACUGACGCUGCCAAGUGCCACACCUUUGUUACAACGCUCAGAAAAGAUGCGAGACAGUGGUUGGGAACUUUGCCUUCAGAUUCCAUAUCCUCGUGGACCGAACUUUGUGAUAAGUUCCAUGCCCGUUUCGGGAGCAACCGAAGAAGAGGAAAGCCCACGGGUUCUUUGGCACAGAUCCGGCAGUUUGCCAGCGAAUCUUUGGGCCAGUAUGUAAAGAGGUUCAGAGAAGCAGUCGGUCAGGUGUCCGAUCUUAAUGAUCUCCAGGCUGUAGGUUUGUUCCAGAAUGGAUUGGAUCUGGUAAAGUCCGAAAAGUUGGUGAAGAAGUUGAUGUUCAAUCAUCCGAAGAGCUUGGCCGAAGCCUUUGACAAAGCAGAAGGCUACAUCGUUGUGGAAGAAGCUAUGAACAGCCUGAAAAAUCCUCUUUCGGGUCAGGGGAAAGAGUCGGUGGCUCCUAAGCCCGAAGUUGAACAGAGGAGAACGGGGGGGUAUAAUGAUCGGACAGAGGGCAGUUCGAAAAAGUACAAUAAUUCCUGGCGGCAAGGAAGCAGUCAUCCCUCCGUUCCGGCCCCGAAGGUGAAUAAGAUCUACACCAAACUAAACACUGAUAGAUCGAUAAUUUUGGAUCAAAUCAGAAACCAACCUUUCUUUGAGCCACCCCGUGAUAAUUACCGAACUGGGCAGGGUAACUCUCGUAAGUAUUGUGGCUAUCAUCAGGCCGCUGGCCACGACACUAACGAGUGUUGCAAUUUGAAAGACUUUGUGGAGAGGAAGAUUAAAGACGGCUUGUUGGUGCAGUAUGUGGCCGUAAAUAAUCAGCAGAACGUUAACCGUGCUGUUCAGACGGUUCAAGGGGCUACAGUACUACCGCCAAGGCAUGUUAUCGAUGUGAUAACCGGUUGGUCCGCAGGGAAAUUGAUAGGGAAGAAGAGAAGGGCUUACCUGAAUUCGGUCAUGACUAUGACAGAUGCUCACCUGAAAGCAGAUAGACCAUUCCCCGGGACUGUCAUAUCAUUCACCGACGCUGACUCUCCUUCUGAGCCCAUCGAGCCGCAUGAGGGGGCCUUGGUGAUCACAGCGCAAGUGGGCACGGUGGANNNNNNNNNNNNNNNNNNNNNNNNNNNNNNNNNNNNNNNNNNNNNNNNNNNNNNNNNNNNNNNNNNNNNNNNNNNNNNNNNNNNNNNNNNNNNNNNNNNNNNNNNNNNNNNNNNNNNNNNNNNNNNNNNNNNNNNNNNNNNNNNNNNNNNNNNNNNNNNNNNNNNNNNNNNNNNNNNNNNNNNNNNNNNNNNNNNNNNNNNNNNNNNNNNNNNNNNNNNNNNNNNNNNNNNNNNNNNNNNNNNNNNNNNNNNNNNNNNNNNNNNNNNNNNNNNNNNNNNNNNNNNNNNNNNNNNNNNNNNNNNNNNNNNNNNNNNNNNNNNNNNNNNNNNNNNNNNNNNNNNNNNNNNNNNNNNNNNNNNNNNNNNNNNNNNNNNNNNNNNNNNNNNNNNNNNNNNNNNNNNNNNNNNNNNNNNNNNNNNNNNNNNNNNNNNNNNNNNNNNNNNNNNNNNNNNNNNNNNNNNNNNNNNNNNNNNNNNNNNNNNNNNNNNNNNNNNNNNNNNNNNNNNNNNNNNNNNNNNNNNNNNNNNNNNNNNNNNNNNNNNNNNNNNNNNNNNNNNNNNNNNNNNNNNNNNNNNNNNNNNNCCAGAGAAGAUUCAUGCCAUUCUUGACAUGAAGACUCCUCAGUCAUUCAAAGACGUCCAACGUCUGACUGGAAGGAUUGCAGCAUUAAGGAGGUUCGUCGCCAAAUCUGCAGAGAGGUGCCUUCCUUUCUUUGAUACAUUGAAAGGACCGAAGAAUGCGAAGACGUUCCAGUGGACUUCAGAGUGUGAAGACGCAUUCCAGAGCAUAAAGGCGUAUCUUUCUUCGGCUCCUUUAUUGGUGAAACCCAUCCCAGCGAAGACUUUAUAUCUAUAUCUGGCGGCAAGUUCGUUAGCGGUUGUAGCAGUGCUGGUUCGGGAGAUCAGUGGAAGACAGCAUCCAGUCUAUUAUGUUAGUCACGUCCUGCGAGAUGCUGAAACCAGGUAUCCAAAUAUUGAAAAAUUUUCCUUCGCCCUGAUAAUUGCUAGUAGGAAGCUUCGGCAGUAUUUUCAAGGUCGGCUCCUGGUUGUCUACACUGAUCAACCAUUGAAGAAGGUGAUGGGCAAGCCAGAAGUUUCAGGAAGGUUAGCGGCGUGGACAAUGGAGUUGUCACAGUUUUUCAUCGAAUACCAUCCAUGAACCGCUAUCAAAGGCCAAGAUUUGGCCGAUUUCAUAGUAGAAUGUUCAUUCACCGAAGCAGAUGCCGAGUUACCGGAAGUUGAAUCCUCCGAUCGAGUAGUUGCAGUUCUUCAACAGGAGCAGAAUGUUUGGACUCUAUAUGCAGAUGGUUCCUCUACCCUAACUGUUAGUGGGGCAGGAAUUAUCUUGACGAGUCCGGACGGGUUCAAAGUUCAACAGGCCAUCAGAUUUGGAUUUAAAGCGACAAACAACGAAGCCGAGUAUGAAGCAGUGCUAGCGGGUGUUCGAUUGGCAAAGAGUCUAGAGGUCCAGAACCUUAUCAUCUACAGUGACUCUCAGUUGGUUGUCAAGCAGCUAUCAGGGGACUAUGAAGCUUGUGGGAAUCGGAUGAUCAAGUAUUUGGCGUAGUUAAAGGACCGACUUCAGUAUUUCGCUUCGUACGAAUUUCAGGGCAUAGAGCGUAAUGACAAUUCUAUCGCCGAUGCAUUGUCGAAAUUGGCUACUACGGAUGCAGAUGUUUUUAACGGAUCAGUUUACUUGGAAGUUCUGCAACAGCCGAGUGUUCAGCAUGAAGCUGUGAUGUGUAUCGAACGAACUAAUUGCUGGAUGACCCCCUACAUCGAAUAUUUGGCAGAUGGCGUCCUUCCUUCGGAUCAGAUGUUAGAAAAGAAGAUCAAAUACAAGAGCGCCAACUUUACUCUUAUUGAUGGCGAUCUUUACCGAUUGGCCUUUUCUUCACCAUUACUGAAGUGCCUGGUCCCAUCUGAGGUGGAAUAUGCUCUUCGGGAAGUUCACGAGGGCAUUUGCGGUGAUCAUAUGGCUGCUAAAUCUUUCGCUUACAAAGUACUUCGACAAGGAUACUAUUGGCCUACAAUUUUCAAGGAAGCUACAGAGUAUGUCAAGAAAUGUGAAAAGUGCCAACUCAACAGUCCGAUCCCACAUCAGCCACCGGAAGAGCUAUACUCGAUUUUAUCUCCUAUACCCUUCGCUGUCUGGGGGGUAGAUAUAUUAGGUCCAUUGCCUAAAGCUAAAGGUCAAGUUAGUUUUGUCAUAGUUGCUAUUUAUUACAUGACUAAGUGGGUAGAGGCGAAGCCGCUUUGGUUAAUUACGGAGCAAGAAUGCUUGAAGUUCAUAAAAGAAUCCGUAGUGUUUCGCUUCGGGAUCCCUAGAGUAUUAAUAUCGGACAACGGACGUCAGUUUGUGGGAUCAAAAUUUGAAGCAUUUUUAAAGGAGUUGGGGAUUCAACAUAAGAAGACUUCGGUGGCUCAUCCACAGUCAAAUGGCCAAGUUGAGGUGACCAACAGGACGCUGCUGAACGGGAUCAAGCGCAGACUAGAUGAAGCUAAAGGAAGAUGGCCAGAGGAGCUGCUCAGCGUGUUGUGGGCUUACCGGACUACACCAAGGACUACCACUGGGGAUUCACCCUUUCGACUGGCCUAUGGUACUGAUGCCUUAGUCCCUGUCGAAAUCGGAUCUCCAAGUCUUCGGGUCAGUCAAUACAAAGAAAUAUACAAUGACGAAGGACUGAAGGCCAAUUUAGAUCUACUAGAAGAAGUUAGAGAGGUUGCUCUACUUAAAUUGGCUGCUUAUCAACGAAGAGUAGCGAAGCAUUACAACAAAGGAGUCAAACUUCGCAGAUUCGAAGUAGGAGACUUCGUCCUCAGAGAAGCCGAAGCUUCUACACCUCAAAAUACGGGAAAGUUAAUGCCAAACUGGGAAGGACCAUAUGAGGUGAUCGAAGUAUCCAAACAAGGCACUUACCGGUUAAGGGCAUUAGAUGGUUCCGAAAUCAAAAACACUUGGCACGCUGGCAGGCUUCGGAAAUACUUUCAAUAAAGAUCAAGUUANNNN
rnacentral:lncRNA from 1 species